rnacentral:lncRNA from 1 species
CAUAUUAAAGCAUGCUCUUAGUGCUUUUCUUCAUCAUCCAACUUUUCUUUUUAUCAAUUCAAGUUCCCUUUCCCUACUUUUUUAUUUUCUUGGCUUAUUUCGUCUUGCAAUCAUGAAUUACAACACUUGCUUCCAUCUUCUUCUAGGUUUAUUCAUACCAUGUUCCGUAGUUUGCUUGGCUAUGACAGCCAGGAAUCUCAACUCCGAUCAGUUUGUGCUUCUCGAGUUUAAGGAUUGCAUUGCCGAUCCUCAAAAUGUCUUGGCAAACAAUUGGUCGGCCUCUACCUCUGUUUGCAAUUGGAUUGGUGUUUCUUGUGGCAUCAUCCAUAAAAGAGUUAUCUUAAAAGCAUGAAUCUUAGGGGUACUAUCCCUCCACACCUUGGAAAUCUUUCAUUUCUACUUUCUCUCGACUUGAGUAGCAACAAUUUAUCUGGCCAUUUGCCUAAAGAAUUGGGCAAAUUGCAUCGUUUGAGGAUCAUUCAGUUAAGCUACAACCGUCUUAAUGGGGAAAUUCCAGCAUGGCUUGGGAACUUACAAAGAGUUCAAAGGCUGGAAAUGGGAAACAAUAACUUUACAGGCACAAUCCCUCAAGCACUUGUUAACAUGUCCAAUCCAGAGAUCUUGAACUUGCAAUUCAAUCAAUUAUCUGGUCAGGUUCCAUAUUCAAUCUUCAAGAUUUCUGCCCUGAAGAUUGUUAGUCUCUUCAGCAAUAGCCUAUCAGGUAGUUUGCCUAAUGAUAUGUGUCAACAUUUACCCAAACUUGAAGGGCUUUACUUGAGUCGGAAUGAAUUAUCCGGAAACAUUCCAUCAAGUAUGGGCAAAUGCAACAACCUUCAAAUUUUGGCAUUGUCCUAUAAUCAAUUUACGGGUAUCAUUCCAAGAAGUAUUGGAAAUCUGACACGACUCGAAAAAUUAUAUUUGGGGUUGAAUAAUUUAGAAGGUAUUGAAUUUCCUUGAUUUCUUUAGUUUAAAGUAAAUUUUUUAUGAAAGAGUUUGAUUUGUAAUGGGUUAUAGAAGUGAGAAUUUUUUAUUUAAUUCAAAGCAAAAUAGUUAAUUUGAUCAAAAAAAAUAUUAUAUUAAAAUCUAAUAUCUCCAAAUUACUGUAUAACAGAAAAAGAAAACCUCUUUAAUGCUAACAAAAUAGGUAGUUUUAACACCUUGACUUUUCGACUGUCUGCAGGUCAGAUUCCGACUCCUAUCUUCAACAUUUCUUCUCUGAAGACUAUUUUUCUCUCCAACAAUAGUCUAUCUAGUAGUUUACCUAAUGGUUUGUGUUACCAUUGUCCCAUGCUUGAAGGGCUUCUCUUGGAACAUAAUGAAUUAUCUGGUAAUAUUCCAUCAAGUAUGGGUGAAUGUUACCAGCUUCAGAUUUUGAAUUUAGCAGCAAAUAAAUUCAGUGGGCUGAUUCCAAAAAGUAUUUUUAAUUCAACUAUGCCCCAAGGAAUAUAUCUAAAUGACAACAGUUUAGAAGGUAUGUGUUUCACUUUAUUUUUUUCCAAAGUCCAAAAAGCAUUCUGUUUAAUUUGUUUCUUCUUUUUUGGUCAUAUACUUUAUCAUUUUAAUUUGAUAAUAAACAAUAAGAUUUAUAUGAAUUGGUUUAUCUUAAAAUUUUUAAUUCCCAUUUAUAUAGAUUGACACUUGAUUUUAAGCAUUUAAUUUUUAAUUAUUCUAAUUAUUAUUUUUAAUUUAUUAUUCAAAUGGUUGAACAUAAUUAAAAAUAUUAAUUUAUUUAAUAUUUCAAAUGUAAUAAUAAAAUUUCAAGCCAUAAUUAAAGCAUUGCACCAUAUUUAAUAUCUAAUAUAAUUUUAGUUUAUGUAAUUAAAAAAUAGUAAUAUUAUUUAAAUAAUGACUAGUAAAUAUAGUUAAAAAAUAUAAUUUAUUUUUGUUAAUUCAAAAAUAGUGCUAAUAAAUUUUUUUAUCAUUAUCAAGGCAUCAUAAAAAAUAUAAAAAUUGAUAUAUUGUAAUUUCAUUUUUUUUUCUUUUCUUGAUAGGCAAUAAAUUGAUCUUAAAAGUUUGUAGAUGAUAUAUACUUAAUAUAAAUAUAAUAGAUUAUAUUAAACUAUAUAAAUAUAUUAUUUAUAAAAUUUAUAUAUGAAUUAUAAAGUUAUUUGUUAUAUAAAUAAUUAAAAUUUGCUCUUUAAAAUUAAAGUAAUGAACAUCUAUACUAUUAUUUAAGCUUCUAAUUGAGUUGGUGUCGUAAGUCAAUCGAGUAUAAACUCGGUUAGAGAAAUUGCAAGAAUAUUAUUUCUUAUUUAAAAUAAGUUAUAUUAUUUGAGGGUAAUUUAGUCUUUUUAUUUCAAAAAACAAAAUAAAAAUGUUAAUGGUGAGAUUUGAACUAAAACUUAACCAAAAUUUUAUUUUAAAUUUUUUAUACAUUUUGUUUUUAUUAUGCGCACUCUAUUACCUCCAUGAAUUAUAUAUAUUAAUAAUGUUGUUGAUUGAAAUUGUGUCACAAAUUAACUAGAUACCAACUUAGGAUUGACAACAACACCACGAUAAAUAAUUUCAUUCAAUUAGUAUUAUUAAUAUGACGUAUUCAUAUGUUUAAAUUUCGUUUUACUUGCAAUUUAAUCUUUUUAUUUUUUUUUAUUUUAAUAUCUUACAUAUGCCAUUUGUUAUUAGUAUUAAUCAGUGCUUUGAUUUCUUAUUGUAUAUUAUUUGGUUCUUACAUGCAUACACUUAUGAUAGAGUUUUUAAUAAUAAUUUAAGUAUAUAGUAAUUCAAUAUGUAUUUUAAAUUUUUAUUAUAUAAAUUAUUUUAAUAAUUUUUUAAUAGAAAGGAAAUUUUUAUUUAUAACGAUGCUAAAUUUUUAAUAAGUUUAUUUAAUCAAAUAUUUUAGUAAAACCAAAAUUCUUAUUUAUAAAUUUGAUAAAUGAUAAAAAAUGUUAAAAUAAUUAUCAGAUCAAAAACUUCUCAAAACUCAUACAUUUAUACAUAUUAUAGAUAUAUUUUUAAAGGUUUAAUGCACACUUUAUUCUUUAAAGUAUACUGCUUUUCUCACUUUAGUCCCUAAUAUUAUCAAACAUUUUCGACACAGUCCUUUGGUCCUUAAAAAAAUCGGUUGGGAUGUCCAACCAAUCAUAAAUUGUCAUGUGAUACACAUUCCCGAUGUCACGAUGGCAUCAUCAUUUAGACAAAAAAAACCAAAAAAUUUAAAUAUAUAUAUAUAUAUAUUCAAAUAAAAUUAUUAAAAUUAACUAAAUUAUAAAUCUAUAAUUUUUUUAAAAUUACAAAUUUGUUAAUUUUUAAAAAAAUGUAAAAAAAUAAAAUUAUUAAAAACUAUAAAAAUUAUUAGAAAUUGUUUAUUAUAAUACAACCAAUUUUUAUAAAAAAUAUUUAAUAAAUUCUUAUAUCAACAUUUUAAUAUUUUAAAAUACAUCAAGUUUUAGCGUUUUACUAGUGUUAUGUUUAUUUGAUUUAACUCCCUAUUUAAUGUCUAGAGCAAGCUUUCUCCAUCCACCGUCGUGCAUAUACUCUUUCUAUUUUGCACCAAAAAUUUUUAGAAUAGUCAAACAUUCAACAAUAGUUCUUAAGAUAUUGGUUUAGAGACAAACAAUCUAUCUUCAACUAGUAAAAAAAAUAUUUGGAAUAAUUUAGAAUAUUAUUUAUUUUACAUAAUAUUAUUUAUUUUAUUAUUUAAAUAAAUUGAAAAUAUAAGACUUAUCCAAAUUUAUCACCUAAUAAGAUGUACUGAUUAUAAAUUUUGAUUAAUUAAAUUAAAAAAUAAUUGUUAUAGGUGGCAUCCUUACAAGACACAAUGAUCACAUGGUCAAACUCUUGCCAUUUAAAAAAUUUCAAAAAUAUUAAAAUAUCUAAUAUAUUUUUAAUUUUUUAGUAUAUUCUUUUAAUUUUUAUAAUUGAUCUUAUCAGUCCACAACUCACCUUCUUCGCAGUUUGUUGAUUCUUUUUAAGUUUUUCUGAUUUUUCCCUAUUUUUUCUGGUUUUCCUUUUGCAUUUUAUUUUCUAAAAAAACUACAUUAUUAUAACGGUGAGAAAUUUUUUUUAUAAUUUUUAGUAUUCUUUAUGUUUAUUUUACGUAUAUAUAUUUUUUCUUAUUUUUUAUAUAUAUUUUUAAAGCAUUUCUUACAUUUUUAUAAAAAAAUUCUGAUAUUUUUUUUAAAUUUUUUAGUGAACUGCACAAUAUAAAAAUCUUUUUUAUUUUCAAUACAUAUUAAUUAAAAAAUAGACAAAAGUUGUAUAGAAGGAAAAUAAAGGAAUAUUGAUUAGAUGCCACAUUUUCAUUUUAAACUUUUAUUUUUGUUUGAAUUAAAGAUUUAAAAUAUUUUUAAAAAAAUUUUAAUGUAUUAUAUAUUUUUAAAUUUGAUAUUCAAUCAAUUUUAGAUCUGGAAAGUAAAGAUGAUUUCAACACAAGGCUUGGGCUAACAAUACAUAGGAGUUCAUUUUUAAUGUAUUAUAUAUUUUGUGAAUUUGGUAUUUAAUGAAAAUGUAUACUAAAAGAUGCUAUUUUACAGGUAAUUUACCACCCAUUACCAAUGCUCCAAAGCUUGAGAAUCUUUUAUUGUGGAGAAAUAAACUUAGCGGAAACAUUCCCAACUCUAUCUCCAAUGUUUCCAUGCUUAAGGAACUAGACUUGUCAGAUAACUUAUUUUCUGGCCCAAUCCCAACACUUGGCAACUUAAGGUACCUUGAAUGCCUUCAUAUCCAAAACAAUAAUUUGAUUGCAGGAUCUACUAUUGAUCAUGAUUGGACCUUUCUUUCUUCUUUGGCGAAUUGCAAGCAUCUGAAAAGAAUAAUUCUUUCAGGAAAUCCAUUGAGUGGUGUUCUUCCUACUUAUAUCGGGAACCUUUCAAACUCCCUUCGAUACUUUAUGGCCUCUAAUUGUGAGAUUAUAGGCAAUAUUCCUAUGGAAAUAGGUAACUUAAGCAGCAUGUUGGAUUUAGAACUUGACUAUAAUAAGUUAAGUGGAUUUAUUCCAAAAUCAAUAAGAGGACUGCGAAAACUCCAAGGUCUAGAUCUUUCCUCUAAUAAAUUAGAAGGGCCUAUCUCAGAGAGCCUUUGUGAUUUGGAGAGUUUAUACAAAUUGUUUUUAGGGUUGAAUAAGCUGCAUGGAUCUAUACCCUCUUGUCUAGGUAAUAUUUAUUCUUUGGGAUAUCUUUACUUAAAUUCCAACAAACUGAGUUCGGCAAUACCCUCAACUUUGUGGAAUCUUAAAGAUAUCUUAGAAAUAGAUUUAUCAUCAAACCAUCUUAUCAAUUCUUAUGCUAUUGAUGUUGGAAAUUUGAGGAGUCUAGGGAAACUAAAUUUAUCAAGGAAUCUUCUCAUGGGCGAUAUUUUAUCCACAUUUGGGGGUCUUCAAACUUUGGUUACAUUAGAUUUAUCAAAUAAUAAGCUAUAUGGUCAAUCCCCGAAUCAUUUGGUGGUUUAAUUAAUUUGGAAUCCUUGGAUUUAUGCAAGAACAAUCUCUCUGGAGUCAUUUCCAAAUCUUUGGAAAAGCUUUUACAUCUAAAGUAUUUUAAUGUGUCUUUCAAUAGACUUGAAGGGGAAAUUCCUACAGAAAGAAGUUUUUCAAACUUUUCUAGCACAUCAUUCAUGAAGAAUUAUGCACUUUGUGGUCCACCUAGAUUGCUAGUCCCACCUUGCAAAAACGACAUCCAUGAAAACUCCCAAAUGAUCAUAUUGCAUGCUUUAAGGUAUGGUUUACCAACAAUUGGUGUUGUCGUACUACUAAUAGUGCUAACUAUUAUGUAUAGAAGAUGCCAAAGUAGGAGUACAACCCUACCAAUUAAGGAUGAUUUGUUGUCUUUGAAAAGACUGAGACGAACUUCACAUGCUGAACUUUCACAAGCAACUAAUGGAUUUGAGGAAAGCAAUAUGCUUGGUUCAGGGAGUUUUGGAUAUGUAUAUAAAGGGAGGCUUUUAGAUGGAAUGGAAGUAGCAAUAAAAGUUUUCAAUUUGCAAACAGAAGGGGCAUUUAGGAGUUUUGACAUUGAAUGUGAUGCUAUGCGUAAUAUAGUUCAUCGUAAUAUUGUGAAGGUCAUUACUUGCUGCUCAAGUGUUAACUUCAAAGCCUUGGUGCUUGAUUACAUGUCUAAUGGAAAUCUUGAGAAAUGGUUACAUUCUAAAAACUAUUUCCUUGAUCUCAUACAAAGGGUUGAGAUAAUGAUUGAUGUUGCAUCAGCUAUAGAACAUCUCCACAAUGGACAUCCAACACCUAUAAUUCAUUGUGACUUAAAACCAAACAAUAUUUUACUAGAUGAAGACAUGGUUGCACAUGUGGGAGAUUUUGGCAUUGCCAAAUUGUUGGAAGAAGGUUACUUAAUGAAGCAUACCAUGACUCUUGCAACUAUUGGGUAUAUGGCACCAGGUGAAUUUUUUAUUUUUGUAUUAUUAUUUUUCUAAUUUGCAUUUUAUAAUUUUGUUUCAUGUGUAGGUGGAUAUAUAUAUUUGAAUAAUCACUUUAGAAAUAAUUAAGGAUUAACGAUACUCUAAUUAUACUUGAAAUGCAGAAUUUGGAUCAGCAGGAAUUGUUUCUGUAAAAUGUGACGUCUAUAGUUAUGGGAUUGUCCUUAUAGAAACUUUCACAAAGAAGAAGCCAACUGAUAAUUUUUUUGCUGAAGAAAGGACUAUAAGACAUUGGAUGGAAAGUUCAUUGCCUCAAAGAGCGAUAGAAAUCGCUGAUGUUGAUUUAUUAAAAAGAGAGGAUGAGUACUUUAUUGUUAAAGCAAAUUGUAUUUCAUCCAUCAUGGAGUUGGCUUUGAAUUGUUCAGCUGAAUUACCAGAAAAAAGAAAAGAUAUGAAAGAUGUUGUGGUUGAGCUAAAGAAAAUCAAACAAAGGUUGCUAAACAACAUCAAACAUGUUUAACAAAGAUGGUGAGUAAUUAGUACACUUGUGGUUAUUAAUUCACGCUUAAUUUUAUUAACAUUUUUAAUCUAUUCUAGCAGUUUAAUUAUAGAUAUCAAAUAUGUCGGUAUCGGUCUCUUUGAAGAUUGUCGUAUAAAUUGUGAAAAUUAAUACACUAAUUUUCUUUCUUUUGCUCAAUCAGUUGCUCUCUUCGGAAUUCAAACUUCUUUUGUAAAAUCAAGAUGGAAACCAAUAAAAUGAGUAGCAAGCCUUCCCAAGAAUUACGGUUUAUGGUAGCUUUGGGACAUCAAUUUAUUUUCUUUGUUAGAUUUGAUUUUCUUAGUUUCUUAUUUCAUUAUGGUAUAAUUUUGUUUUAAUAUUUUGCUAAGGGCUUUAUUGUCGGAUUUUUUUUUGUUUUUCUCUAAUUAAAUAUGUUAUUUUCUUUCAUUAAAAAAACCAUGUAUUUAAAUUUCAUUUAUUAUUUUGACAGACUCUUCAACAAAUGGUAUUAUUCUUGCGUUGGGGUUUUGUCUCUUGAUUCCGCAAAGAUCUCUAUGGGUUUAUGGAGAUGAUUGCAAGGUAAAUGUUACAUAUGCAUUAGUUGGUGGUUUGAAUCCUUUCGUAUGUGUUCUUCAUGAUUUUUCUGCAGAGGCUAGGAAUAAAAUCUCAAUAUGGGAACAAUACCUUUUGUUGUUGAGGGCAACAUUGAUUACAUGCAGAUAACAUUCAGAAGACUUCUCCUGAUGAGUUGAUCUCCCUCAACAAAAAAGUCAAAUACAAGGUCUGUUAUGGGUAAUCAUAGUUUAUCCAAGCAAUGACAUAUAAGUUUAAUUUGUUUUCAAGAGCUUUCUAAGUGUUUCUCUUCAUUUUCUUCUAGCUUGUUGAAUGAAGGGACAUGUCUAACACAUUGGUCUUAACUGAGCUAGCUUGCCUUGCCAGGUAAUUUGCUAAUUUCCACUUAUUUAGAGUUAUUUACGGUGUGUUCUAUUUAAUAUUAUCAUAAUUGAAGGUAUCAUUUAUAAUUUAAUCUAAUUGUGUUUUUGGCUAGUGGUCAUUGAUCAAGGAAACUAAAGGAAGCCAAUAAGAAGAAUUAAACUUCGCAUGCUUUACUAUCAUAUGCUACAAAACAAAAAGACUUUUUUUUUUCUACAUGAAAUUUGUAUUGGGCUAUCAAUGUUUCAUGGAUUAUGUUGUUUUUCUAAUUCAAGAGGUGAUUUUGCCAAUAUUGCAUGCAAAAUCAAUGUCUACAUAUAUACUACCAAGUACCAAGUAAUAUUUCCUAUGAUGGAAGUUCUGCUAAUGCGCAGCUUAAUCAACUCUAAUGCUCCUGUGGAUUUUAUUUGUCUUUAUAGUAUUUAGAGACUAUUUUAUGAAUGUCCAAUUGCCUUUGGGCCUUUCAAAAAAAGUUUAGCAAGCCUACAAGUCAUUUAAUUGCCUUUGGAUUUCCCAUGAAAUUUUUAUGUAUGAACUUACAAUAUAUGGCUUGAAUUGCAUAAUUAUAUUAUAUAUAAAUAUUAAUUUCCUACCUCUCCAUCAAAAUAACCAUUAACAUCAUCAAAAUCACUGGUUUGAUCGCAAUGUCUGGCAUUCAUCUAUUUGAUAACACAACUCUUAUAUCUCCUAUUAUUGGAGCAAAGCCAAAGGCCUCUUGGAUUGUCUAAACAUGUUUUUUCUUCUUUUGUAUUUUUUGUAACGAAUCGAUUUAUAGUAGUGUCAAAAAAGUGGUUUCAAAACUUCGUUUAUGUAAACUAAGUUUCUGAUACACAAUGUUUGAUGAAGAAAAGUGUAAUUUGUGAAUUUUGCCAACAUGGUAGUCAUCACAAAAAAGUACAUUCUUGAUUCUCAUGAAAAUAAUAUUAUUACAAGAGGAUAAUACCAUGUUUUAGACACCUUUAGCUGGAUGGUCGAGACAUCGAUGCCACAACUACUAUUCAGAAACACGAGUUUGAUCUUCAAGAUCGCUAGUGGGAGUAUAAUAAACUUAUUGAGUGAAUGCCAAAGGUAACGAAGACUUGCAAUCAGAAACAACUUUAUGAUAGCAUUCAUCGGUAAGAAUUGUAUACAAACCAUCUUUUUCAAGACCUCGAAGAAGAACUUCACUGAUAGUCUCAUCCUUAAUAAGGAAAUGAGUGGGAUAAAACACGAAAAACACCAAAUUAUCUCUAGCAAAUUUACUAACAAACAUUAAAUUCUUGGUGAUUUCAUAGACAUGAAAAAAUUAAUCCAAAAUAAGUUGUCGAGAAGUAGAUUUAAAGAAAAACUAACUAAUAUGUGAAAUAUUUUAUUCGAAAUUAACCCAUGUAUGCAACGAACAAGUGAAAAAAAAUAAUAUCGAAAAGAUCAAGCAUGCAAAUUUUACAUGGAAAAGCUCCUCAAAAGAAGAUAAAAAACCAUAGGCAAAAGGAGAUUUCACAAUAAUAAAGGAGAGUACAAAAGAUGGAGAAAGUUAAAGGAAAACUCGUAGCCCUGCAAGAAUAAACCUUUCAAAACAAAGAACAUAAUUCUCUCAAUCUAAAUAUUUUUUUAUUAGACAUAGAGUGACUAACGCAUAUUUAUAGGAUGAAAUUCAUAGCAUAUAUGACUACAACAAUCCUAGGUUAAUCAAAGAUUAAAUGGGAAACUAAAAAUAUGGUUUAACUGUGAGAAGAAAGCCAAAAAACUUGAGGUGCAUGUUGCCACAUCGUGAUAUGGCAUCAUGUUGUCAGGACAAAGGGUCAUCGUGUCAUCGAGAUGAAAGCUCUCUUCUCGUCGUGAAGUCAGCUAUUCAUUGGGAUGAAGAAGACAUUUGAUCUUUUGUUCUAUCAUCAAUGUGUUUUGUUCUAUCAUGAAACAUUUGAUCUUUUGUAAGAAAGAUGGCACUUUGACUGACACAAAAUACUGUGCUGAUUUGAAGGUCUUCAUUAAGUUCACUAAAGAGUCCCUUCAACCAAAUAGCUUCUUUACAAGCCUCAGUAAUCGCCAUGUACUCAACUUCGGUGGUAAACAAAGCGACUGUAGUUUGCAAAGUGGCUUUCCAACUGAUUGUACAACCUCUGAUUGUAAAGACAUAACCUGUGAAAGAUCUUUUUCUAUUAAGGUCUCUAGCAAAAUCAGUAUCAACAUACCCAAUGACCCCAUCUUCAGUUCUUCCAAACUGUAAGCAAACAUCAGUAGUACCUCGUAAGUAUCUUAAAAUCCACUGAACUGUUUUCCAGUGUUCUUUACCGGGAAUCACCAUAUAUCUGCUAAUUACACUGACUGCAUAUGAUAAAUCUGGACGUGAACAAACCGUAGCAUACAUGAGAGAUCCCAUUGCACUAGAGUAUGGAACAUGUGACAUGUACUCAAUCUCAUCAUCUUGCUGUGGAGACAAAGCUGAUGAAAGUCUGAAAUGGGCUGCUAAAGGAGUACUAACAGGCUUAGCACUCUGCAUAUUGAACCUACAAAGAACUUUCUCAAUGUACCCCUUUUGACUUAGGUACAAUUUACUUGUUUUCUAUCUCUGAGAAUCUUCAUACCAAGUAUCUUCUUUUCUAGUCCUAAAUCUUUCAUCUCAAAUUCUUCACUUAGUUGGGCCUUGACCUUUCUUAUCUCUCAUUUAUCUUUUGCUUCUAUCAACAUGUCAUCAACAUAAAAAAGUAGAUACACAAAAGAACCACUACUAUUUUUCUUAAAGUAAACACAGCUAUCAAAACUACUUCUUUUGAAAUCAUGAGAAGUCAUAAAGGAAUCAAACCUCUUGUACCACUAUCUUAGUGACUAUUUCAAACCGUAAAGGGACUUUUUCAGCAAGCAAACAUAGUCCUCUUUUUUUAAGACUGUAAAACCCUCUGGCUGUUGCAUGUAAAUGUCCUCCUCAAGUUCUCCAUGCAAAAAUGCAGUUUUUACAUCUAACUGCCUAAGCUCCAAAUCAUGAUGGCCAUAAUACCAAGCAAAGCUCGAAUCAAACUAUGCUUCACAACUGGGGUGACCACAUAUGUGAAGUCUACUCCUAGAAUUUAACUAUAACCUUUUGCAACAAGCCUUGCUUUAUAUUUGGGUUCUUCAACUCCUGGAGUCCCUUCUUUCUUUUUAAAUACCCAUUUACAAUAAACAAACUUUUUACCUUUAAGAAGUUUUACAAGAUCACAUGUUCUAUUUUUGUGAAGUGAUUCCAUCUCCUCUUGCAUAGCAAACAUCCACUUUUCUGGGUCUUCACAGCUAAUUGCCUCAGAAUAAUUAGAUGGCUCUCGGUUUACAUCUAUAUCUUCAGCCACAUUUAAAGCAUAAGCAACUAGAUCAGCCUUAGCAUACUUAUUUGGAGGUUUAAUUUCUCUUCUAGUUCUGUUUUUGGCGAUAGAGUAUUGCGGAGAAGAAGCAACUCUAUUCUCAAUUUUUAUACUGGCUUGAGGAGUCAACUCUAUAUUAAUCUGAUGCUCCACCUACUUUUGAUUUUCUUUAUUGGAAGAAUCUUUAAGAGAUAAGUUAGGUUGCAUAGUAGUUUCAUCAAAAACAACAUCUCUGCUAAUCACAAAUUUUCUAUUUUCAGGACACCAUAACUUAUACCCUUUUACACCAACUUUAUAACCAAGAAAAACACAUUUACUGGAUCUUGGUUCCAAUUUUCCAUUAUCAACAUGAGCAUACGCAGGACACCCAAAGAUAUUUAAAUCAGAAUAAUUAGCAGGAUUACCAGACCAUACCUAUUGUGGAGUCUUUUUCUCAAUGGCAACGGAUGGAGAUCGAUUGAUCAAAAAACAUGCAGGAGAGGCUACUUCUGCCCAAAGUGACUUCGGUAAGUUGGCAUUUGACAACAUGCAUCGAACCUUUUCCAUGAUCGUUCUGUUCAUUUGUCCUGCAACACUAUUUUGCUGUGCAGUAUGACGAACUAUCAAGUGUCUCGUGAUCCCUUCUGACUUGCACAAUCUAUUAAACUCAUCAGAAUAGAACUCUAAGUCAUUAUCUGUGCGGAGGUAUUUUAUUUGUUUUCUUGUUUAUUUUUCAAUCAUAAUUUUCCAAGACUUAAAUGAGGAAAACACAUCGCUUUUCUACUUCAGGAAGAAUGCCCAAACUAUUUUGGAAAAAUCAUCAAUAAAGGUUAGCAUAUAAUUAGCUCCACCUCUCGAAGGCACUCUAGAUGGCCUCCAUAGAUCAGAAUAAAUAUAGUCCAACGUUCCCUUCGUGUUAUGGAUUCCUCUGGUGAAUUGAACUCUCUUUUGCUUCCCAAAAACACAAUACUCAAGAUUUAGUUUGCAAAUUCCUUGCUUAUCAAGAAGUCCUCUUUUGCUCAAUUCUACCAUGCCAUUCUCACUCAUAUGCCCUAGGCGCAUAUGCCAAAGUUUAGUAAUAUCAUCAUCUAACAAGGAAGAGGAAGUGAUAGCUGCAUCACCAGAAACAGUAGAACCCUACAAAACAUAUAACAUGGCAGUCUUUCUUUGCCCUUUCAUCACAACAAGGGAACCUUUGGAAAUCUUUAAAACCCCACUUUCAGCUGUGUAUCUGUACCCUUUUGAAUCAAGAGUACUCAACGAAAUUAAAUUUCUCUUCAAUUCUAGAACAUGUCGCACAUCACUAAGUGUUCUGACAACUCCAUCAAACAUCUUAACUUUAAUUGUUCCAACACCUGCGAUUUUACACGAAGUAUUAUUUCCCAUCAAAACAACACCUUUAGACACUAUUUCGUAAGUUGUAAACCAAUCUCGAUUGGGACUCAUGUGGAAGAUGUAGCCUGAAUCAAGUAUCCACUCUUCGCUUACUUUAAAAUCAUUGACAGAAGUGACUAGAAGUUCAUCAUCGCUGUAGUCUUCUACAACAUCAGCUUCACCAGAAUUUUCUGGUUGUUUUCCCUUUUGAUUCGCAGCCUCCCUUUUAAUCUUGUUUUGUAACUUAUAGCACUCAGAUUUAAUGUGUCCUUUCUUCUUGCAGAAGUGACAAGUUUUACCUCUGUUUGAAGACUUUGAUCUACCCCUAGAUUUACCGCGAGGAUUUCGUUCCUGUGUCCUUUACAAUCAUUAUCAGCAUUUCGAUGUCUCCCACGAGUAAUGAGACUCUCUCCCUGAGAGUCAGGUUUAACCACAAGAUGUUUCGCCUUAUCAUACAAGGUCAAAGAAUCAUAAACCUCAUCAACUAUGAGAGACUCGUGGCUAUAUAAAAUCGUGUCUCUAAAGGUUGAAUAAGACGGGGGCAACGAACAAAGUAGAAUCAACCUUAGAUCUUCCUUAUCAUACUGAACCUCCAUGGCCUCCAAGUUUGAGAGAAUUUUUUUAAACACUGUUAAGUGUUUGUGUACAGAUGCACCUUCCUUCAAAUGAUGAGCAUAAAGAUACUGCUUCAUAUGCAACUUGCUUGUUAGAGUUUUCGACAUACAUAUUUGUUCUAGCCUCUUCCAUAAUGUAGCGACAGUCUUCUCUUUCAUCACAUCCUGUAAAAUUUCGUUGGAUAAAUGCAGAUAUAAUUGUGUUAACGUCUUUCUAUCCUUACGCUUCUUCUUUCAUCUAUUAAAGUCGAAGACAUCUUAUCUAUCCCUAGCAAGGCAUCCUCCAGAUCCAUCUGCGCAAGAACUGCUUGCUUCUUAAUCUGCCACAACGCAAAUCUGGUGUUGCGAUCCAACAGCGAAAUUUCAUACUUUAAAGAUGCCAUUACCGUGAUCGAGAUGAACAACUCGAAAGCUCUGAUACCAAUUUGUGAAAAUAAAAAUAAAAUAAAAAUAAAGAACACAGAUUUUUUACGUGGCCCUUUCGGGAAAAGACCACGGGCAGAGGAGAAGAAAAUUCACUAUGUCGAAUUCAAAUAAUUACAAGAGGAAUAGACUAUGUCUAUUUAUAGGCUUGUAAAGUCAUAUUCUAGUAAGACUGAAACACCUUAUUCUAAUCAAUAUCAAAUAGAUAGAAUUUAAUAAGGUUUAAAAAACCUUAUUCUAAAAUAAAAUAAAAGAAGUGUAAUUCUAUAUAGAUUCUUCUUUUAUUUUAUUUUACCACUGUAUUUUAUUUAAAUAAGGAUUCGGAUCACUUAAUUCUAACAAAAAUAAACAUAGGAGAAAUUAACUAAAGCUUUAAGGCAUGUAUUAGUGCCACUUUCUUUAAGGUUCUAUUCUCCUCCACCUAUAUCAUGGUGUGCAAAAGAAUUAUUGGAAAAUGAACCUCGAGGAUACAAUGAAGCCCAAUGGUUGUCUAUGUUUUGCACUGAUGGAAAUAGGCCACUAAGCAUUAAGCGGAGCAUACCAAAUAUAUUAAUUUCUAUAAAGAAUUUCUGCAGUAAUUCUUUAUAGAACAAUCUAAAAAUAUAAAAAAUGGUGGGAGAUUAGAAAGAAACUUUUUUUAUAUUUUUAAACUUUCAUGCAAAUGAAACUUCACACCUAUUUAUAGGAGGUCUCAUGUCUCUUCAUAGGGACAUAACUACCCAAAUGGAUAGUCAUAUCUUUAGGAAUAAACAUAAUUAUUCAAUAGAUAUCUACUUGAAUAAUGACUAUUUGUUAAUAUCAAAUAACAUAACUUUUGUUACUUGUAAUUUUUCAUUUGUAAUUAUUAAAAAACUAUAUAUGUUUAUUAAUAACCAAAUAACAUAAAUAUAACACAUCAGAUCAUAAACUACUCAAUACCUUCUCAAUUGCAAUUAAGGUUUGAUUUUCAUUUUAUUAUAUACUCUUUUUUGUCUCUUAAUUAUUUCUAGAACCUUUAAAUCUCGUAACGCGCAUUUUAUUUUUUAAUGGCAUAUCUUACAUAUUGCCUACUUAAGGUAUUUCAUAAGACAUAACAUUACAGUAUUUUUAAAUUUCCUUCAAUAUUAGUUACAUAAUUCCUAUAAAUAUAAUAGUAUUUUCUAUUUCCAAAAUGGUCUUAUUUUUCUCAGAUCAUCUCUCUUACCCGCGACAGCAUUAAUCCUCAUUUUCUCCACGUUUGUCUUUUCCUAAAAUUUGUACAAUCAUUGCGCAACUCUCAAUUGAAUUCUGAAUUAACGAGCUUUACUCCCAAAUAAAUAAAUAAAUAAAAACAAAUAAAUUUCGUUUCGAAAAGCAUUUAAGUUGGGACAAAAAGAAUCUGUUUAUUUUCUUCUUUCAAGGAAAAUCUAUUUAUUUUCUAUUUUAUGGUCUUCCUAAAAAGAACGUUAAUAUAUAUUUCAUAAUUUAAAUUAUACAACUGAACAACAUAUAAAUAUAAGUUAUGUUUGAAAACAAAAAAGAAGUUCAUAAAGAAUUUUUUUCUAAAAAAGAAAAAAAAAAGACACACUAUAUUUUAAUAAAAGAAGUUAAUAUUGUAAAUCACCAUAAGCUCAUUGUUUGAAGGACUACUAGACUUUAAGGAUGCAGAUUUAUUAUUAAAGCAAAUUGUAUUUCAUCAAUUAUGGAAUUACCUCAAAAAAGAAAAGAUAGGAAGAAUGUUGUGGUUGAGUUCAAGAACAUGUUAAAUAAAUAAGGUUAGUAAUAAGUUGAUUAUUAAUUAUGUCUUUUGAAACUAGACUAUGAAAAUAAUUAAAUUCAACUUCUUUGUUUACACUCUUGCGCGCAGUUUGCAUUUCUCCUAAGUGUCAAUUUGAUUGGAAAAAGAUUAAUAGAUAAAAAGUCGGUCAAUAGCUUAACCAAAAAAGAUUAAUUUUUCAAAAAAGAUAAUUUCACUUAAGCUAUUGAUCGAGUUUUUGAAACAGUUUAUAAUUUAAAAAGAAUAAAAGAAAAUUAUGUGAUCCUAAACGCAAUUGAAUUAAAUGUGAUUAAAAAAUGUCCAAGUUUUUUUCCCUCAAUUAAGAGGCAAUUAAGUGGGUUCAAAAGUUGAUUACGCAUAUGGAAACUUAUAAAAUUCUCACAACGCUCAAAAUUAGUACUUUAUUAAUUACUUCGUUGUCAAAAAAAUUCAAAAUAUAAAAAUGAGAAAUCAAGCGAUAUUGUUACAAGGAAUCACGCGACUGUAAUAGGCCAAUUUUGGCCUGGGCCAGAUAAAAAAUAAAACACAAAAUAAACCAAAAUAAAUAUAAAGUCCAAAUUUUUUUUAACAGUCCAUUUACAGACCCUAGCCCAAUCCAAACCCAAAUAAAACUAUACCCAAACCCCAAACAACCCAACUAAACACUAAGCCCAAAAGGGCCCAAAACCUAAACAACAUUUUCAGCAAACCCUAAUCCCUAACAGCCUCCACCGCCGCACGCCACUCCCCUUCGUACCGCCACGUCAGCACACUACCUACGGCCUCCGUACCUAUAGAAAGGACAAACAUACAAUAGCAAAGAGGCAAUAGCAAACAAAAAAUGUUGUAUUUCCUUCGGCUAUAAAAGCCCUCAAAUCAUCAAUGUAUUUUUUUUUUACAGAGACUAUCAAAUACAAAAAAUCAAAUAUAAAAAGAGAAAUCAGAAACAAAUUUUGUAAAAAGGUGGUCCUUUUGUUUUAUAUUUGCUUAUUUUUCUUCUUUUCUACUGAUAAUUCUACUAGUUUUUUUUUAAAGAAAAACGAAAAAGAAAGGAAUCAAAUCUUACCUUUCUUGUGUGGAUGUCGCCGUGAAGGGAGCUUAGGUCGCCAUCUCUGAUGAAAGAUGGCAUUUUUGGGUCAGCAAAGUCAAAAAACCCAAAAAAAAUAGACUUUUUGUCUUCCAGCCACUGCAGACGGCAGCGCCGUCAUCGGCGAUCGGCGGCCGCCACUGUGGCCGAUGGUCGGAGCUCCUACUGAAAAUCGGAGGGGAACGGAGAGUUGAGAGCAUUUCAUUUCUUUUUUGAAACAGGGUUGGAAUGAAUUUUUUUGAGAAAUUUUAGGCUUAAAUAGAACAUCAAAAUGACGCCGUUUUGGGAUAGCUUAAAACGCUCCAAAACGACAUCGUUUUGAGCCUUACCCACGCACUAACCCGACCCGUCCAGAGGAUCCGUGUGUUUUUUAUUAAUGGGCUAUUUUCCAAUUUAAUCCUUCCGCCUUUUAUCCUCUUGCAAUCAAGUCUUUUUGAAUCUUUAAUUUUGGCCCUAUAAUUUAUUUCAGUUUUCAAUUAAGCUUGCCUUGAAGCUGCGUGUUUUGGAGGGGGGAUUAUUUCCCGUUUUGGUCCGUCCUUGUUAUUCGUGCAUUCAAUCUGGUCUUUUUCUUUUCUUUUAUUUUCAAAUUCACCCCAAUUUUUGUUUUUAAAAUUCAAUUUAGUCCUUUCUUUGUGAUUCUUGAUUAUUUUAUUAUCAAAUUAAUUAGUUUAUUAUUAUUAUUAUUAUUAUUAUUAUUAUUAUACUUUCUCUUUUUGUAUUUAUUUAUUUGUUUUGUUAUUAUAUUAUUAAAUUAAUGUCUUGUAAUAUUAUUGCUAUUAUUUUUUAUAUAUAUUUGUUUACCUAAAAUCUUAUGUAUAUCUUAUUUAUCAUCUAUCUACUUAUAUACUUUGAUAUAAUUUUAAAACUACUUUGUUUUUUCUUUAAAUUUAGUCCUUCGUUUGGCUAAUUUUAUUAUUUAUGUGUUAUUUAUUUAUUAUCCUUUAUUUUUUUAAUAACUAAAUUUAACACUAUUUCUAUUUGUUACAUUUAUUUAUUUUGUUCAUUAUACUUUUACCUUUUAAAUAUUUACUCCAAUAUGGUUUGUAUUUAUUUAUUUAUCUUUCCUUUAAUUUUUUUGCUUAAAUUUAACAUUACUAAAUUUAUUUUAUCUAUUUAUUUAGCCAUUUAUUCAUUAUUUCUUCUUUUUAUUAUUUUUAUAUAUUUAAGUUUUUACUAUCUAUUUUCAUUUUAUUUGUAUAUUUCUAUUUCAUUUUUCCUCUUUUAUUUUGCAAUAUGAGUUUUAAACUUGUGAGUUUCAAUUUAAUUCGUAUUUUGAUUAAUUUUGCUUAUUUAUUUACUAUAUUUUUAUUUAUAUAUUGUAGCGACGUAAAAAUUUUGGUUUGGUCGCUAAUUAAGGCGAUUUAUUGAAAAUUUAAAAACCGACUUUUGAUUUUAUUAAAAAGAGAGUCGCCACCGAUCUUUUUUCUCAGGUGUGAUCGGACACCUAAUGAAUCCUCUUUUUCAAAGAAAAAUUUAUUUUUGGGAUAACAAAAAGGCCGAGUUUAGGUCUAUGCGAAAAUCCAGAGAAAAAUAGGGUUCGGGAGUCGGUUACGCACAAGGAAGGUAUUAGCACCCUCGCGAUGCCCAAAAUUGGUAUCUUUAAACAAGUGUUGUCUUAAUUUUCAAAAUUGCAAGUUCAAAGUAACAUUUAAUCGUGAUCCGAUCAAAACACGAGAAAUUUCAAGUUUCGUUUUCUUUUGAGAAGGACAUACAGUUUUAACACAAAUCGAUUGAUAUUCACCCAACAUAGCGAUGAAAUAGAUGACUUAAUGUUAAAUCGACACGUUGCCUUAUUUAUUGAAAUUAAAAAUUAUGAGUAAAACAUUAUUUAAAAUAAGAAUUCGUAAAUAAUACAAAACAACGAUGCAAUUAAUAAUGAAAUAUUAAAACUGAGAAUAUUAAAACAACAAUAUUAAUAUUUACAAAAAGUAGAAAUGAUGUACUACCAAUAUAAUAAGAAAAAUAAUAUAUUCAUAAUGACAAUAGAAGAUAACAAUAUAUACAUAAAAUAUACAUAUACAUAUAUAUAUACAUGACAUACAAAAUGAACAUAUACAACAUAUAUAACAGACAUAUACUAAUAAUAAUAGUAAAAAUAGUAACAAUAAAAAGGUAUAUGUACACCAAAUAACAUAUAAUAAUAUUAAGAUCAUAAGUGACAAUGUGGAAAAUAACAAGUAUAUUAAUGAGUAUAAUAACAUAUGAAAAUAAUACUAUAUAUAAAAAUAAAUAUAUGUACAAAUAUUAAUAAUAAAUAUAAUAGGAAUAAAAUAAAUGUAAUAAUAAUAUAUACAUGGGAAUAGUAUAUAACAUAUAGCUAAGAAUAUUGAAAAUAUAUACAUAAGAUGACAUAAAAUUUAAAUAACAAUAUUGAAAUAUAUAUAUACAUAACAUAGAAUAAAAAUAUAUAUAUGUAGCACACGUUAAAAGAAUACAUAUAAGAUACAUAUAUUUCAAAAAGAUAAUAAUAAUAUUUAAAGAAUAACUAUUAAUAUGUUACAUAAAGUAUGUAUAUAUAUAAAUAAUAAUGGUGUUAGGAAUAUACUAUAAUAGUAUAAGGAUACAUAACUAAUAAUAUUAAUGCAUGUACAUAAUAAUAUAUAAAAGUAUGGUAUUAAAAGCGUAUAUACAUGAUAGUAUGAAAAAUAUAUAUAUACAUAUAUAUAAUAUAGUGGUAAAAUACUUACGUAAUAUAUACAUAACAUAAAUACUAAUAAUGUUAAAAAACAACUUAUUAAUAAUAUUAUAUAAAUAUAUUAUAAUAUAGGAAACUAUGUACGUAAUAUAUAUAUUAGAAAUAGUAAUAGUAACUAUAGUAAUAAUAUAAUAAUAAAUAAUAAAAGGAAUAAAAAUAACAACAAUAAAAAUGAUAAUCAUGAGAAUAAUAUAAAUAAUAUUAAAAAUAAAUAAAAUAGCAAGGAUAAUUUGAAAAUAAACUUAAAUAAAAAAAGGACUAAAAUUGAAACAAAAACGAAGUUCUGGGGCGAUUUUAAAAUAAAAAAAGGGCUAAUUUGAACACGCGUGAAACAGUAGGGGGCCAAAAAAGCAAUUUUCCCAAGCUUUUAAAACGAUGCGCUUGGCCAGGGACUAAAUUGAAAAGCGCAAAAAAGUUCAGGGCCAAUUUAUAAAUAAAUAUAAACCUGAUUUAAAACAUCAAAAAUGCGGAAGGACCGAUUGCGCAAAUAGCGCCUAAGAGCAAAAACGCUAGGAUCCUGGUCCGAAGCGGGUCGGAUCGGGUCGGGCUAUGGCAAAACGACGUCAUUUUGGGGCUAAAGGGCAGCCUCCAAAACGACGUCGUUUUGGGAGGCUAUAUAAGGGCCAAAAUUUUUUAAAAUUCUCAUUUGCUGCAACAAAAAGGAAAAAAAAAGGGAAAGAGGAGAGGGGAGAGGAGAGCUGGGGCGAUUUUCGGCCAUGGGCCGGUCACCGAUCCGAUCGCCGGACCGUCGCCGGCGCCGAAGCUGGCCACUGUGCACGGUGGCCGAAAAAGGUAAAAUUUUUUUAUUUUUUUAUAUUUUUUAUAUGCUUUAGUAUAUAUAUAUGUGGAAAAUAGGCCUAAAAAAACCGAAACUAAAAUUAAAAAAAUCACCUUAGGUUUCUAGCUUUUGGUUUUUGAUAUCUUUGAUUCUCUGAUCUUGGUGGUGCUUGAAAUAUUGUUUUUGUAUUCUUAUUUCUGUAUAUUUUUGAACCGCCCUGAGAGCUUUUUUUACAAGUUUCAUUCGGGUUUUAUACCCUUUUUACAUACUGCUUUCUUUUAUUUUCACUGUCUUUUCUUGCUUACAGGUGCAACUUGCUGAUGGAGACAGUGGCGGUGGACGUGACCUUGGGCGGUGGCCGCAACGAUGUCAGGGGCAGGUGGGGGUUAGGUCGGCGGCUGGCUUUGGCAGAGGCAAGUGGGGAGAGGGUGGCUAGGGUUUCAGCUUUUCUGAAACCCUAGUUUGACUAAUGGGGUACUUGGGCUUGGGCUAGGUCAUUAAGUUUAGUUGGGUUUAUGGGUAUUGGGUUUCUGAUUUGGGUUUUGACUGUAUUAGGUUGAUUAGUGUUGGGCUGAGGGUUAAUUUGUAUGGGUAGUUGGGUUAGUUGUUUAGUUUGGUUUGGUUUAAUUUUGUUUGGGUUUGGAUGUAAACGGGCCCGGGCAAUUUGAGCUUCUACAUAUAUUUUAUUACAAAUUAUAUCUUUAAUUUCAUUUUACAACUUGAUUUUUUAUUUUCGAUAUUUUACAAAUUAUCUUCCCUUAUAUUUAUUUAUGUAUUUGUUUCUUUGUCUCCAUUAUUUGAUUGGCAUUGUUCUUUAUAUGUGUGUGUUGUUGCUAUUAUCAUUCUCAUUAUUUAUUUUAUUUAUCAUUUGAUGGUGCUUGUUAAUGUUAAAAUAGUGUACAUUAUACGAUUCUUAUACGUUGUUUUAUUAACAUAUUCAUUAUUGUCCUUUGCUAAUAUGACAUUAUAUAUUUUUACCCAAACUUGUAAAAAAUAAAAUUUUGAAAACCGGCAGUCUUGUGCAUUUAGGAAAUUCGAGAAAUCGUACCCUAACUUACGGGUCUCGAUUUUCUCGUUAAAUCUAAAUAGCCGAAUAGCCCUUAAAAUUUCAAAAUACAUGAAUUUUAAAAAAAAAUAAAAGUAAUAUUCCAUAUUUAGAAACUCGAGAAAGUCGUGCCCUAACUUAUGGGGUCUCGAUUCUUUCUCAUUGGAUCUAAAUAAUCGAAUAUCCUUCUAAAUUAAAACACAUGAGAUUUCAAAAAUAAAAAUAAAGACAAGUUUGUUCUCAAAGGUUCAAAGUGUCGUGUCCUAACUUACGGGAUGUAGCAUUUUGCUACCUCAAGACGAGAGGGUCUUUAACAUUCGUUUCGAUUUAUCCAAGCAACUUUUUCUGUAAAAUUAACAUUAACAAAAAAAGGAUUGUAAUGCAAUUUCUUUCAAGUUUUCAAAUAUUCGACAUUAAGACGUUAAUUAAUUAGGUACCAAUUUUGGGCGUUACGAGGGUGCUAAUCAUUCCUCGCACGUAACCGACUCCCGAACCCAUUUUUCUCAAAUUUCAUAGACCAAAAUCGUUGUUUUAGUAAAUCUAAAAUAUUUUAUUAAAACAUUUAAAUUACGAGGUGAUCUGAUCACACCUCAUAAAAAAAGGGAUUGGUGGUGACUCCCAUUUUUCGUUUUUUUAAAACGUUUUUUUAAAAGUCGGCCUUUUCAAAAAAAAUAGUUUCGACAGCGACAAUACAAAAAAACGACAAUGUUCGAAAUAGAGGCAAAGCAUAGGCGACACUGCAAAGAGGAGUCUAGAACAUCGCAACGAUGCUACAAAUUCUAACUAAAACCAACCACAUAAUUAGAAUCUCAACAAGGAUAUUUUUCCCAGUUUAACUCUGAUCAUACCAGAAAUAUUUUAGUAUGAUUAAACAUCUAACCUUAGCCUAUAAAAAGGGCCUAAGUAACCUUAGAAUAUAACAACAUACCAGGGUUUACGGUUUUUUUUAAUAUCCCCAUCUUGUAUUUUUCGAUUAUUUGCUCCUUAGUUAAGUAUUUUUUACCCGUGGUUUAUUAUCCUCUUGAUUGGAAAAAAUUUUUCAUGUAAAUUUGUGUGUCCAAUUUUCUUUAUUCUUUCUUGUUAGUUGUUGACACGAGUCUAUUCCCAACAAAUCAUGCUAGUUGGACGAAUCCACUCAAAGCAAACUAAUGACUAAUUAUAGAAAAUUCAGUCUAUGUUAAAGUGACAUAUAACUCCAAAGACCCGUCUUAAAUGCAAUGUGAUCUAGAAAUGUUCAACCUCUUAUCUCACAAAUCACUCGUGAUGGAAAAUUGUGGAAAAUGUUCUCAAUAACUAAAGUAUAACCUUCAAGAUACGUUUGUGUAAAAAUUUAAAUAUUUGUCUCAUUCAAAAAGAUCUUAAAUGCAAUUAAUUGUGAUUGGGAAAUCGUGUCAAGAUGUUGGAAAAUUGGUGAGAAAAUUCUACACCCAUGAAAAGUAAUUUCAUAGUGGUUGAGAAAUAAAUAUGGAAUCUUUACUUUUCUUUCAUUAUAUUUUAUAGGAAAUAUAGCAAAUGACAUUAAAAAAGUCCGCAAAGAUGAAAAACACAGAAAACUAUAAAUAAAAUGGCUAGUCUAGAUUAAUAAAAUUUAUAUUUUACUAACAGUGCAAUUUUAAAAUUUCAUAAAAGUUAAAAUUUUCUCACAAUUUUGAAAGAAAAUAUUAAACGUAACAACACAAAUGCAAAUUCAUAGUCUUUCUUUUCUAUUUUUUGCCAUAUAUCAACGUUUACUUUUAUGGACAAUGAAAUUUCGUCAACAAAAAUACGUUUAUAUUAAUGAACAAUUUAUCUGUCACUAUAUGCCAAACUUAUACCGGCAUUUGAAACCUAUACUAUUAGCCUAUUGGCCAAUAUCAACUCUCUUUUAAGCAUCAUGUUUGAUAUUUACAUGAUGUAUUUAACAAGUAUUUGGACAUAAACAUUACGAAACUUCUUUAAAUAUAUAAUUUUUUUUAAAAAAAAUCAUAUAAACAUAUCUAAUAUUUAUUUUUUUUUUGCGAAAUAAAUGAGGUUAUAAUUUUUGCGAAAUAUGAUGGAGAAGUAAAGAAGAGUAACACUUCCCAAAUGUGAGGGAUUAAUGGUUUAUUGUGAAGUAGAAUUGCAAUCUUAAUACAUAAAAAGAGAAAGAGAACUUGAUCAGCAUCAAGGUUGAAAUAAAAACAAACAUUGUUGAUUUGUGAAGAAGAAAUGCAAUCGCAUUAAAUUGGAAAAAAAAAUAGUUUACAUUUUUUUUUGGAAUUUAAGCCAUUUUUUAUAUAUUUUUAAAACUUUUAUCAUAAUUUUUUUAUUUUUGCAUAAUUACUAAUUUUAAUUUUUUUAUAAUUUCAUAAAGUAAAUUAUGAACUUUUUGAUUUCUUUAAGAAUUUUUUUUUUUGUUUUGAAUUAUCAUUAACAAAUUUUUUAAGGUAUCAAAUUAAUAAUUUAACAUAGUUCAAAUUAAAUAUUAGCCUUUGAAUUAAUAUGUCAUAUCAUUAUUUUGUUAAACGUUUAACUAUAGUUAAUAAAUGAGUGACAAAAAGAUAAAGUUUCUAUAACAUGAAUAACUUUUUUUUUUUUGGUGAAAAAACAUGAAUAACCAUUUUAUUAGUAUCCAUAAUGUAGUUUAGAUUAAAUGAAUCCAACUAACUGUUGUUAAAAAUUGAUUUGUUUGGUAAAUGAAUUUUAAAAUUGUGUCUAACUCAUUUAAUUUGAUAAACUAAUAAAAACCUCAAAAUAUUUUUUUAGUAGUAAACUCAAAUAUAUUAAAGGGUUGUUUGAUGGGCACUCAUUAGGCACCAGUUAAGAACUAUUUAAUUAUUAAUUCAACAGAAAAAAUAACUUGAAUGCUCAAGUGAAAAUAAUAUAUUAAUAAAUCGUGGAUAGGGCUAUCUGCAAUGAAGUUUGGAUUUCUAUUUUUCCUAACAAUUUGUAUCAGAGACCUCUUCUUCUCUCGCCAAAACCCGAAGUUAGCUAUUCCAAAGGACGUCCGUUAAGGUUUCUGGCGGGAUGGAUUGAGCAUCCAAAUUUCUCUGAUUUUGUUAAGGAAAAUUUGGUUUAUAAUGGUCAUAUGGAGGACUCUAUCAAUAACUUUACUUCUCAUAUCAGAACUUGGAACAGUGAUGUAUGGAGGACUCUAUCAAUAACUUUACUUCUCAUAUCAGAACUUGGAACAGUGAUGUAUAUGGGCAUAUUGGUACUAGGAAGAAAUUGCUGACGCAUAGACUCACGAGUAUUCAGAGGGAUUUGGAUAGGGUGUAGUCUAAUCAUCUUAUGCAAUUAGAAAUGGGGGUGGGCGAAGAAUUGGAAAAUGUCUUUCACCAUGAAUAGCUUAUUUGGAAACAAAAGGCGAGAUGUGAUUGGUUGCAUUUGGGUGAUCGUAAUACCACGUUCUUUCGUAGACGCACUUUAAAAAGAAGGAAGACUAAUAAGAUUAAUGCUUUGAAAAAUGAUAAGGGCAAGUGGAUCUAUGAGGAAGAGGAGCUCAAAUAUGAGGCAAACACCUUUUUUCAGAAUCUUUAUGGUGAGCAACCUAGUCCGAUGAAAGGUCUCCCCUUAAGUGCCUUCCCUAAGCUUGAGGAUUUAGAGAUUUAGUUCUUGAGACAUCCGGUUUUAGAUGAGGAAAUUAAGAGGGCAAUGUUUGAUAUGGCUCCCCUGAAAGCUCUUUGUAGUGAUAACUUUCAUGCCCUUUCUUUUCCAAAACCAAUGGGAGCAAAUAGGGGGCUUUGUGUGCAAAUAGGUUAAGGGGAUAUUUGUUGGGAAUCCUAUUGGUCCAAAUUUAAAUAAUACUUUAAUCAUUCUUAUACCCAAGGUCAAAAUUCCUAAAAAUUUUGUUCAAAUUCAGACCUAUCAGCUUGUGUUUGGUUCUCUACAAGUUGGUUAUGAAAACCAUAGCUAAUUGAUUCAAAGUGGUAUUCCCAAAGAUAAUUGCUCAGGAGAAAAAGGGCUUUAUAGCUGGUAGAAAUAGCAUGAAAGACAUCAUCAUGUAACACCCCGGAUUUUGGGGUUAGAAGUUUUGACGUAUGUGUUUAGGGUCAGUAUAUAGCUCGACCAAUUAUGUGUAUUUUUGCAUUGUUAUGUCAGAACGAGCCUACUUGUCUAGUGGUUGGUUGUGUGUUAGUUUACCUUAGGGUUCUAGGUUCAAAUCCUCAUGGGUGUUUUGAGGAAUUAUUUUUGUAUCUUUAAAUUUGUUUUAAGUCUAAAAUAUUUAUUCAUUUUAUUUUUAUUUUUAUUGGAACAUCCAACAGUUUUUUUAAGUUUUUUUUCCUUUUCUUCUUAUCAUUUGUCCCUACAUGUUCUUCCCCUCUUUUCCACUUUGUUCCCUAUGACCUUUUCAAUUUCUUUUUCUUUUCUUUUGCUUCUCCUAUUUUAUCAUCUGUCAAGGGAGCUUUGCCCUCGAGUAUUCGUUUAAUCGUAAGAGAAGAAGGUAGAUUUUGUUGUUUUGGGGGUUUAUUGAUAAUAUCCCUUCAUUUUCUGUUUUGUUAUUGAAUAGAAGUGUCUCAUUGAUGGGUUUGUUUUAUUGAGGAUUUUGAAUGGUUUGGUGGAGCGAAUCGAAUGGUCCUUGGUGCUAAGAAUUAUGAUUUAAGGUGCGUGUUCAGAGACCCUUUCUUUUUGUAUCAAAUUGUUGACUUGCUUGUGUGAAAUUCUACAUAGUUGUGUGUUUUUGAAAGUGAUCAAUCGAAGGGUCAAUUACCAUGAAACGGUUUGAAAUUGGGUGCGUUUUGGUGUGGUUCUUAAUUACUAAGGGUUGGGAAGCAGUUUCGGCAAUGAACGCAUGCCGGUUCACACGGCCGUGUGGAAUAGAGGAUUAGGGUUUCCAGGAAAAUUUUGUUGCCACACGGUCGUGUAGCUGAUUUGGGGAUUUAGUCGACUUCCACACAACCGUGUCCCGUGGGCACACGGGCGUGUGCACUUGGUAAUUAGGGUUUAGGUGAUUUGGUGUCACACGACCUAGCCAUACAGUCGUCUGGCUAAUUUUAGAGAUUUAGGGAUUUAAUCAAUUUUCCACGCGGACGUGCGUUCUAGACACAUGUUCGUGUCUGCCCUAACCUUAUUUUAGCACAAAUGGACAGAGAGUUACAUGUUCUGUUCACACGGCCAUGUCUUGGGGUCACACGGGUGUGUGCCUUAGCCACACGGUUGUAUGCCUCAGCUACACGGUUGUGUGCCUCCUUUCACACGGGUAUGUGUCCCCCCACAUGGGUGUGUUGACUCUCACAUGGCCUAAGCACUUCUACAACAGUCGUGUGGCCCUGGUUCAUAAAUUCUUAUUUUGAGUCAGAUUGUGACUGAUUCGUGUAUCUAUGUGUUCCGACCCUUGGCUAGGCCUUAGUAAGGGUAGUUGAGACUCUGUUUUAGCUCGGUCUUAUGCUAUAUUUGUGAUCAUUGCACUACUUAAAUGAUUUUUUAAGUGUUAAGUAUUGUUAUAACUUAUUCUAAAUUUGGACGAUUGAAUGUAUACACUAUGGUUUUGUUGAUUGUCUGCAUGUUGUGUACAUUGAUUCUGUAAGUCUGUUUCUGUGCAAGCAUUCACAUAAAAUUUUUAAAUUCUAUUUUUGUGUGUCUAUCUCCAUAAGGAGUGCAUUUUUCAUUUGCAUUAUAAUUUUGGGUUUAGUUACGAAGAGAAGGGAGUCUAAUUUGUUUUGAGUAGUUUAAAUUGUGAUUCUUUAGUACAGCGGUUAACCAUACUGUACUACAUAUACGUUAGCUUUGUUGCGUAUUAUCAUUUGAGUGGCCUAGUCCAUAUACAUGGUGUGUAGGGUUGGAUGGGCCUUUUGAGGUCCAAUGUGGUGUGCAUGGUUGGUAGGGCUUCACAUAGCUCCUUUGUGGUGCGAACGGGGGACGAAGAGGUGUUUGGCUGGAUGGGUGGGCUUUUAAUACUUGUUGCAUUCGUACACAUUUGAUUUGGUGAGUGAAUAUGAGUUUAUCUGUCUAUAUUCUGUUUGGUUCUGAGUUUGUAUCCCAACGUAAAUGAGUAUUGAAAUUUCGAUGAUAUGAUAGUUUAAAAUGUUUUGAAUUUGUUAAAACGUAAUUGGUGUGAUCAAAUGAAUGUUUCGUAUAUCUGACAGUAUGUGACUUGAUCUUUAGUCACUUGCUAUUUAGUUUGGUUUCGGAUUCACAUUGAGCUCAUGUAGCUCAUCGCUUAGUUUUUCCCUUUCAGGUACCCUCUCGAUUUCUGUAGCUAGACUUGGAAUGUCGGAGGUCUCAGAUUUUAAAAUGAACUAUUUGGUUUCCUUCUCAAUUCUUAUUUUUGUUAAAUUAUUUUGGAUUGUAAUUAAUUUUAUGAACUGUAAAAAAAGGGUUUAUUCAGAUUUCUGCAUAAUGCUAUCAUGGAUAGAAUUUUUCUUUUGAAACUGCAAAACUAAGUUUUUGAACACUUUAAUGCAUCUUGAGAAUCUCUGUUUUAAAAUGGAUAAACGUCCUUUUUUUUAAUUUGGAAAAAUGUGUCUGUAACGAAAUUUUAGAUAAUAUAUUUUGUAAAAUUUUUCUACGAUCGCUUCGGUGAUCAAUGUGACCUCUGAAAUUUGGUUGACACUUCUAGGUCGGGUUUUGGGGCAUUACACAUCAUCUCACAGGAGGUUUUCAUUCUAUGAAGAGUCAAAAAAAGAACAAAAGAUGGUUGGCUGUCAAAAUUAAUAUGGAAAAGGCAUAUAAUCAUGUUCGGUGGGAGUUUAUUGAGGCUUCUUUACAAGCUGUAAGUAUCCCAAAUUUUCUCAUUAAUGUAGUUAUGUUUGCUAUUACUAACUCUACCUUGCAGAUUUUUUAGAAUGGCGUUCCUACACAAAAAUUUAAGUCGGUUAAAGGGGUUCGUCAAGGUUGCCCUCUAUCUCCAUGCUUAUUUUUCUUAUGUAUGGAAUGGCUUGGUCACAACAUUCAGGCUCACAUUAACUCAAAACUUUGGGUUCCAAUUAGAUUGACUCAUUUGGGCCCACCUCUUUCUCACAUUUUUUUUGUAGAUAACCUCAUUAUUUUUGGUCAAGCCAAUAUUCAACAAGCCCACGUUCUCAAAGGUGUAUUGAACAGUUUUUGUGAAUUUUCUAGACAUUGAAUAAAUGCACAAAAGACCAACAUGAUUUUCUCUAAGAGGGUUGAUGAGGAUUUAGCUUGGGAGAUUAGUAAAUUUUUGGGGUUUUAUAAAGUGAAUAAUCUAGGAACUUAUUUAGGUGUCCCACUCUUCCAUGAGCAAGUUACAAAUGGCACCCUAAGGUUCAUGGUGGACAAGAUUUGUUGCAAGUUGAAUAGUUGGGAUGCGUGGAAACUUUCUCUGGCUAGAGGGGCUACAUUUGCUCAAUCAAUUAUUCUAAUGAUAUUAAGUUUUUUUACGCAGUCCAUGAUGAUUCCCAAAGGUAUUUGUGAUGAGAUUGAGUGUUUGGUAAGACAAUUUAUAUGAGGACCUUCUAAUAGAGGUAAAAAAUGGUGUUGGUUUGUUGGGAUUCGGUUUGUCAGUGAUGACUGACUGGAGAUUUGAGGUUAAGGUAGGUACAGGAUCAUAACAUGGCUUUCAUGAUGAAAAUUGACUUUAAAAUCAUAUCAGGCUUAGAAAUUAUGUGGGUUCAUGUCCUCAAGUAUAAAUAUAGAGUCUAGAAUGGCUUACCAGAAACCUUGGCUCAAAGUAGUGGUUCCUUUCUUUGGACAAGUCAGGCGAAAGUUUGGCCACUCAUUUGAGAAACUUAAUUUGGUCAAUGGGAGAUGGCUGCAGUAUUAAAUGCUAGAAAGAUCUUUGGAUUCCUACCGUUGGUCCUCUCCGUAAGCUUAUCCCAUCUCAUUUUAAAUUGGCGAUGGAUUGCCCACUUACAUGGUUACCCAAAAGAGAGUGGAAACUUUCGUGGAAAUUCCAGGGACCUUAAAUGGUUAAAUACUUCAUUUGGCUUGCCAUCCAGCAACGUCUGCUAACUAAUGUGGAAAGAAUGAGGAGGCGUAUUAGUAUGGAUAGUUCUUAUGGGUACUGUAAUUUCGAGGUUGAAGAUGUGGUACAUGCCUUAAGAGAUUAUCCUAUAGCUAGAGAUAUUUGGGAGAUUAUUGUCCCUAAGGAUAAGAUACCUCUAUUCUUCUCACGAGACCUAAUAGAGUAGGGUGUGCAAAAUUUGGGUAAAACCGAAAAAAUUCAGUUAACCGAUAGAAUUCAAUUAAUCAGUCGGUUAACCGAAUUAAUUCGGUCGGGGGUCGAUUAAUAAUUUUUUGAGUUUUCGGUUAACAGUUUCGAAACCGGUCGGUUAACCUAAUAUUUUCGGUUAACAUAAAAUAUUAAUAAAUAAAUUUAUAAUAUAUAAAUAAUCCACUAUUUAUUCAAACUCAAUUCAACAUAAACCCAAAACCCAAUCUAAUAUAUAGUAACCCAAGUACCUAACCCAACCUAAUCAUAAAAAUUACAAAUAAUGUAAUAAAUAAAAAUAAAAAUCUAAAAAUAAAAAUAAAAAUAAAAAUAUAAAAAAUAUAAUUUUAUACAAAUAAUUCGGUUAAUUCAGUUAAUUCGGGUAAUUCGAUUAAUUCGGUUAAUUCGAUUAAUUCGGUUAAUUCGGUUAAUUUUAUACUUAUUUUAACCAAAAAUAAAAAAUAUUUUUUUUGGUUAAUUCGGUUAACCAACUGAAUUAACCAAAAAAAUUUCGGUUCGGUUAAUUUUUUUUGAAAAAAUUUCGGUUCGGUUAACGGUUAAAAAUUUUGAAGGGUCGGUUAAUUCGGUUAAUAUUAUUUCGGGUCGGUUAACCGAUUGAACACCCCUAUAAUAGAGUGGCUAGCUUUGAAUAUGCAAAAUCAUCAUCAAAUACAUCCAGGGGAUAUUGAUUGACAAAGUUUCUUUUGUCUUACUGUGUGGCGGAUAUGGAAAAAUCAUAAUUUACUUUUAUUUCAGGGUAUUCCAUGGAGUGCAAAUGAUAUUAUCAAAGUAUCCUAUAGUUAGGCUAAACACCAUGGACUCUAUAAUAAUAAAGCAAUUAAGGAGGCUUUGCUAUCCCAAUACCACUUUCGAUCUUGGGAGAUAAUUGGGUUUGCUUAAGAUCUGAAGGUUUUGUUUAUGAGGGAACCGGUUUUGUUGCAGUCAGAGGUGUUUCUUGAUACUGGAAUGGAGGAUGGAUUCUAGGUUACAACAUGUACUUGGGCUUUCGCUCUGUUAUAGAAGCUAAAUUUUGGGGCAUCUUAGAUGGAGUAACGCUUCUUUUGGAGUGGAAAUAUGAUAGCAUGAUAAUUCAAAUUGACAACACGGAGAUAGUCGUAGCAAUUCAAAAUGAGGCCCAUAAUGAGUUAGACUCUACUCUGAUUAAGAGAAUUCACCAAAAUUUGUCCAAAGUAAGACAUUGGGGCAUUCAACAUAUCCCUAAGGAACAUAAUGGAGAACCUGAUGGAAUCACAAGACAUGUUAAAGAUAGGAGAAAAGUUAUUCAAAUUUUUGAAGUUUCCCCAUUGGGGAUCUAAUUCUUUUUUAUUGUAAUCUUUUCAGUUUAUUUCGCUUAUUUCACUUAUUUCACAGAAGAAAAGUACCCAAAAUCAUAAUUAAUUAACACAUUUUAUCUAUUUAUAAGAUGUUAAUUAAAAUUUUAUUUAUUUAUGAAUUAUUUAUAAUUAAUUAUUGAGAGAAUUUUACUUUCAAACCAAUGAAAACAUUUAUAUCUCAUUUAGUUAAUAGUGACAUUAAUAUUUCAACGUCCCGUCUAAAAAUUGAAUAUGUAAUAGUAAAUUUAGGGAUCUCACACGGGCAUGUGUUUUGGACACACGGCUAUGUCCGAUGGGCACACAGGCAUGUGAGACCCUCACAUGGCCGUGUCUACCCUGUACUCUAUUUUAGCACAAAUGGGCAGAGACUUACACGGUCUGUUCAAACGGCCAUGUCCCUAGCUCACAUGAGCGUGUGGCUCAGCCACAUGGUCGUAUGCCUCCUCCCACACGAGCGUAUUGACCUCUACACUGCCUAGGCAUUUCUACAUGACCAUAGCACACGACCAUGUGGUUCUAAGUCACCAAUUUUAGUUCUGUGUAUGUUUUUAUUUGAAAGUGUGUCUAUGUGUUUCGAACCUUGGCUAGGAUUUAUUAAGGGUAGUUAAGACUCUGAUCUGGGCUUCGGCUUAUGUAUUAUUUGUGACUGUUGUGUGAGAUGUCUGAUUCUUAACCUAGUUAGCUAGGUGCAUGUGCAUGUUUGUUUUUAUCUGACUAUCUGUCAAUGUUUUCAUUGUUUCUGUGAGGUUGUACACAUACAUGCACUUGUAUAAAGUAAUUUUUGGUUUGGUUGUGAAGGGAAGGGAGAUUGAUUAUGAUCUGAUCUGGUAGCCUAACUGCAACAUGUUUGUAUAGCGGUUUACCGGAAUGCAUUGUAUUGCAGAUACGCUAGCUUUACUGCGUAUUAUUAUCUGAGUAGCUUAAUUGACAUACAUGGUGUGUAGGGUUGGAUGGGCCUUUCAAGAUCCUAUGUGGUGUGUUUGGUUAGAUGAGCUUAUACAGCUCUUUCGGGCUGUGAUUGGGGGACGAAGAGGUGUGUUGGCUGGAUGGAUGGGUUUUUAUUACUGGACUACAUUCAUACGCAUCUGUUUGUGUGUUCUAGGUGUAAGAAUAUUUGACCGUAUUCUAUUUGACAGAAUAACACUUGUGACUGAGUGUUUGUGUAUGACAUGGUGUGCUUGAAUUGUUAUGUUCUGUUGGAACGUUGAUUCCAAGUUUACUUUCUGAUUCUGUGUAUAUCUAUAAGUAUGUUUCGCUAUUGAAUUAAGUUUCGUAAUUCUAUUAUUAGUCACGUGUCGAACUCACACUGAGCUUGUGUAGCUCACUCCCUUAGUGUUUCCUCUUUCAGGUACAUUUCUGAAUUCUGAUGCUGGACUCAGCAUGCCAGAGGUCUUGGAGUUUCAUGUUUUAUAUAAUUAGUUUAAGUACUGUUUUGAAAACUAUGGUAUGAAUUUUUGUAUUAAAUACAUGUAAGCAUUAUUUGGACUGAGGUUUUUGUAAUACCGAGACUUUAUGUCUGAGAGUUAUUAUGGAACUUAAAUACUGUAAUGUUUUUCAGUUUAAAAUUUCCCACGAUCACUUCGGUGAUCAAUGUGACCUUCGAAAUUUGGUCUAAACUCCUAGAUGGGUAUUGGGGUGUUACAAAGCAAAAUACGAGAAUAAAAUUCUAAAUCCAAACAGUUCAAAAUAUACAGAGAGUCCAAAAUUUACAAAACUCUAAAAUCAAAAUCAAAAUAAAUCAAAUUUACAAAACUACGAUAAUAAUCGAGCUUUCGAUUUCACCAAUCCACCUGAGGAUUACCUGAAAAUAUUAGUCAAACAGAUAGUGAGUUUUCGAAACUCAGUGUAUAACGAAUAACUUUAAAUAGCUAAUGUGUAUCAAAUAGAUUUAUAAGAAAUAGAAUCAUAUCAGAGUAAUACAGAUACAAAUAUAUAUAAUUCUACCGUCAUUCUGUACACACCAACUCCGACCAUCCCAAAACACCAUGAGGGGUAUAAAACACCCACCCAGCCGUACACAGCGUUUAGUGUCGAUAAGACACUUUCUAGAAUAUAUGCAGCUGAGCUGCCAGUUAAUAGCUGAAUUAUUGCCUUUUCAGUACUCCACAAGAUAUAUAUAUAACCCAUCCCAAAUGCAAAUACAUAACGUAACAAAUAUCAGAUAUAUUUUCUGUAUAUACACAUGGCAUAACAGACACAGAACGUACAUAGCAUUUUCUGGUUUUCUUUUAACCUAUUACACCGUUUUCUCAUCAUAUGAUGUUUCAGUUAUACAAGUAGAUAUCGAAAAUCAUGCUUACAAUUGACCAAAUUUCAUAUUUUACAGUCUAUUUGAACACAUAUCGACCCCACGGGAGGGCCACGAUCAAUCAGAACGACGUGUACGGCUCUAGAAAAAAUUUUAGAAUUUUGGGCUCACAUGCUCGUGUGGCCCCAUACGCCUGUGUGGUCCUCACGGCCCAAAUAGUCCAGACCAUGAGUCACACACAAUCCAGCACGCAGUUUGUCACAUGAUUAUGUGUCACACACGGCCUACCACACGGCCGUGUGAAGUCGAUUGUAAGCUUUAUUGGUGUCGAAACCAUCUUUCAAAAUUUAAAAUUUAGUGAAAAUGGGGAAAUUGACUUUUUGAAAAUAAAACAUGGAGUCACCACCAAUCUUUUGUUUUGGUGUGAUCGGGUCACCAAAGAAUUUGGUUAUUUUAAUAAAACAUUUUUGGUUUACCAAAAACAACGAUUAUGGUCUACGAAAAUUUUAGAAAACGGGCUCGGGAGUCGGUUACGUAUGAGGAAGGGUUAACACCCUCACUACGCCCAAAAUUGGUACCAAAUUGAUUAAAUACUGUCCUUAUGUCUAAAAUUAAAAAUGUUUUUGAAAUGUGGUUCUUUUUUAAUAACAUUUGAAUAACCCGAGUUGGUUGCCAAAAAUUUUCUUGUUUCGACGUCCGAAAGUUUAUAAUUUGAAAUUAACAAAAGGAUGCCCAACCAUUUGGUCCAACAAAAAAUCGAAAUCUAGCACAGUAGAGCACGAUUCCUUGAAUUUCUGAACAUCGAACGUUGCCUCACCUUAGAAAAUACGAGUGAAAUUCCAAAGAGAUAUUCGAUUAUUUUGAACAAAUGGGAAAUUGCAACCCAGCACGAUAGGGUACUAUUCCCCGAAUUGCCAAACAUUGAAUAUCGCCUUCGUUUUAAAGGGUUUUGUGAAAACCUAAAGGAAUAUUCGAUUGUUUUGAACAAACGAGAAAUCACAACCCAGCACGAUAGGGCAUGAUUCUCGAAUUAUCAAACACCAAGUAUUGCCUUCGUUUUAAAGGAUUUUUAGAAGAUAUGAGUGAAAUUUUGAAGGGAUAUUCGAUCAUUUUGAGCAAACGCAAAAUUGCAACCCAACACGUUAAGGCACUAUUCCGCGAAUUGCCAAAUAUUGAAUCUCGUAUUCGUUUUAAAGAAUUUUUAAAUGAAUACUUAUAAAACUAGCUUAAAACGUAUUAAUGCAUUUUUUUGAAGUGAGACGAAAUCAAUCAUAAAAUUUGGAUUUUAUAAAACCACAUUUCGAAAAUCAAAAGGAAAACGAUGAAUGGGGUAAUAUGCUCAUGAGAUACAAUCAAUUAACGAACUAAAAAUUAAGUAUAACUAACCUAAAAAAUAUAAUCCGAUCACAAUCAUGCAUGGGAAAAUAAUUGACAUAACAAUAUCAAAACAAAAAUUAAAAUAACAAUGGAUCGCACAAAACAAAAUAAAGCAAUACACGAUAGUAUGUCACAAUAAUACACAAAACCUAAUUUGGUAUAAUCAAUGCAAGAUAUACGAAAUAAGAUAAGAAUAAAGAAAAUGCGGUAUAAGACAACUUUAUAAUAAUAACGAAUUAAUGAACACAUAAUGUACAUACUACCUGAGUGGACUAAUUUAUAUAAAAAAAAAACUAGGAAUAUAAUUCUUGAAAUAAAUAUUAUAGCAUAAAACAUUUGAAUUGAAUAAUAUGUAGAAUAUUUUAAACACAAAUUCAUUUAAAAAGAAUUUAACAAUAUACACAAUAGUUUGAAUAAUAUAUAUAAUAUGAAAGAAUAAUAAAGCACAUGAUAAGACGUAAUGUACAUAAUAGAUCCAUAAGACAUGCACAUAUAAAUAGGUUUAAGAACGAUUAUUCGUAGGAAUAGUAUGAAAAUAAUAAUGCAUAUAAAAUUAACUAGUCUAUCUUAUGUACAUACCAUUAUACUCAAAAGUAUUUUAAAGAGAUAAUAAAUAAAUAUUAGAAUAACCUAAUAUAAAGAAGCAAUAAUUUUAAGUACAAAAAUGAAGUUCUUGAAUAAUCUUACAUAUAUAUAGAAACAUUAGAUGAAUCUUAAAGCAAGAAGCAUUUUAAAAAAACCUAUUAAAAUAAUGUAUGUACAUAUAUACACGGAAAAAUUUAAAUGCGACGUUAUACAAAAUGUGUAGAUAAUAUAAUGAAAAGAAUUUCAAAAUAACUACACAAAUAAGAAAAGCUAAAUUAUUAAAAUAGAUUAACACUUAUAAGAAUAUUAAAUGAAUUUUAAAAUGGCAAAUUGCUCAAAUAACAAAAAUUCAACUAAAAUACUAUAUAUGUACAAAUAUAUACAAAUGUUCAAAUAAAAUACCGUACAUAAUAUUAACAUAUCAUAAUAUGAAGAUUUUAAAAUAGAAAAUUUUAAAACAAAGUAAAAUUAUUAAUGUUAUUUCAACAGAAUAAAAAGAUUAAAGAAACGAAUUAUCAAGAUAAACAAUGCAUGGUGUUGAUAGAAAACUAAAUUAAAAUGAAUGUAAAGUAAUAGAGAUAAUUUAUAAAUAAAACAAACUACUAAUGUUAAAAUAAGGACCCAUGCACAACACGCGCGAAUUUACAGGAACCAAAACUGAUAAUUUCCCCGAUCCCUAAACACUGCGUUGAGAGACGGGCCAAAAUGUAAAAACGUCCAAAUUAACGAGCUAAUUUAGAAACACGUGAUAGAACAGAUAAGGUGCGAUUGGAUGCUUAUGCAAAUGCAGAGGACUUAAUGCAAAAUUAACCCUCCAAGGCCAAACGCGCGGAUCUUGUCCGAACAUGGGCCAGGUCAUCGGGUCGGUGUGUCAUGAAACGACGCCGUUUCAACACCAAAUCUCACGGCUCAAAACGACGUCGUAUGAAACACAUAUAUACACAAAGAUUUACCCUAAAAAGGCUUCAUUUGGCAGAUUUAAAACUUCUUAAUAAUCCCUUCUUUCAAAAUCCCUUUGACCCACUCCCUUCUCUCGGCCAGCCUGCGAGCGACGGUGGAGUCAAGUGUGCCUCGUCUCCGUCACGGCUCCAAACAGAACCCUACGAAUCCGCACGCCUCUGAACCGGAGAAGUGGCCACCGACUAGGUCGACGCCGGUCAACGGGUGAGAAAGCCUUUCCCUUUUUGAUUUUUUUUAAAUACAAAACAAAUGACCCAAAAACUCUUUUUGUGUUUUGAUUCCUUUCUUUUAAUUUCUAUACAUGUAUGCGUAAGAAAAGAACCUCCUCUUUCUGAAAUAUAUAAAAAAGGAAAAAAACGAUGAACAAAAGAGACACCUUUAAGGUUUUUCUUCCGAUUGUUUCUUCUGGUAUUUUCUUUUUUUAUUUCAGUGUUCGUAACCAAAAAACAACGAAGUUUCCAGGCCUUUAUAGCCGAAAGGAAAGAAAAUCAAAAUCAAAAAAUACAAUUUCCAUCCUUUCCCUUUUGCUGUGCUGUGGUUUUUUGUUUUCUUUUGCACGUACGGAGUGCGUGGCGGCGUACGGAGGCUGUGCUGGCAUACGGGGGUUGCUGGUCGUACGGGGCGAGGGCUGGGGCGUGCGUGGGGAGCUGAGCGGCGCCUAGGGUUUUUCUUCCCUCCUUUGGCUGAAAAAUGUUUAGGAUAAUCGGGCUAGUUGGGCUUUAGGGCAUUUGGGUCUAGGUUUGGGCUUUAAUGAUGGACUAUUAGUUUGGUUUUAUUCUUUGGACUUUUGGUUUAAUAAUUUAUUAUUUAUUUUGUAUUUAUUAUGGGUUUCUAGUGGACCCGGGCCAAAAUUGAUCACUACAAUUGGCUUUUUUCAAUUGUUGUUUUACUUGUUUUUCGAUACACACCUGAUUCAAUUUUGAUGUAGGCACCCCCACGAGCCUACCAGAACCUAAAUACAUCGAUCAAAACACUAAAUCAAUAAUGAAAAUCAACAAUUUGAAGAACCAAGUCCUCGAUUAUCCUCAAAUAGCAAAACCAACAACCCAAUCUAAACCAUCCCAAAAAAAAAUACACGCCAACCCAUACCACUUAACGAAUAGGAACAAGGUGAAAAUCAAAUUACCGGAGGAACACCAAUCGUCUCACGAGUCCCCACUUACAACACACGAAAGAAAAACACACAAUUAUAAUCAAUUCUAAAAGUCGAUUGCACAUCGCAAUUUUAAUUCUCACACCCAAAACUCAAACUUAUUUAAGAUAGAACACCAAAUUACCUGACAAACAACCAGCAACAGAGUGAAAAGCAGAAUCACAGUAAGGAAAUAGACCAAAAUUAAGAAUAAAAAUUAAAUGGCAACCCAACGAUCAUUGAAAAAUUAAAGAGCAGGAACAAAAGAAGAAAAACAAGGCAAAAGCCAAAGUGGAAUCACUAGGAGGGAAGAAUGAUGACAUCACAAUUGAGGGAUUGAAAGAACCAAAUAAAAAAAAAACAAAAAAGAAAAGGAAUGUGGGAAAUAAAAAAAAUAUUAUUUGCUUUUAAAACAAAAACAUAAAUACUCAAGAUACAUUCCUAAAAGCAAGGUCUGCAAUCUAUACCCACAACUAAUCAGAUAUUAACUAGAGUCCUUAAUUUGACAAAACAUAUAAUAUUCCCACUUACUCGCAAAAAUAUUCAAAUCCAAGACUUUAAAGACACACUCAAAGCACUGAGCCUCUAAAACAGAUUCUUAUUUUUUGACAAAAUUUAAUAAAAUAAAAGUUAAUAAUUUUGGGGCAUUACAGAAUUAAUAAGAUUGGAUUUUUACAGAGACUAAAUAUUAAAUUCUAAAAAGCAUAGGAUUAAUAGCAUAUUUUAACCAAUUUAUUAUAAUAAAAAAAUAAAAGAAUAUAUAGUAAUUAAAAAUUUUAUAUUUUCUUAUUUUUUUUAAUGGAUUAUGAGGAGUAAUGUGAAGAAAAUUUAGGAGAAAUUUCGAAAAUUCGCUUCUUUGUAUGUGUUUUAAAAGAAGACAUUUAUUUUGAAAUUUCUUAGACUUGACACCAAUGAAUUUAAUGUAGGAGGAGUGUGCGAGGGUUGAAACAUAUUAAAGCAGGCUCUCUGGGCUAUUUUAUCAUUUCAACUUCCCUUAUUCCGUCUUGCUAUCAUGAACUACAACACUUUCUUUCAUCUUCUUUUAGCUUUAUUCAUACCAUGUUCCGUACUUUGCUUGGCUACGACAGCCAGGAAUCUCAAUUCCGAUCAGUUUACACUUCUGGAGUUUAAGGAUCGCAUUACCCGUCCUCAAAAUAUCUUGACGAACAAUUGGACAGUCUCUACCUCUGUUUGCAACUGGAUUGGUGUGGCAUCCUCCAUAAAAGAGUUAUAGCUUUGAAUCUUACAAGCAUGAAUCUUAGGGGUACCAUACCUCCACACCUUGGAAACCUUUCAUUUCUACUUUCUCUCGACUUGAGUAGCAACAAAUUCUAUGGCCAUCUGCCUAAAGAAUUGUGCUAAUUGCAUCGUUUGAGAAUCAUUCGAUUAAACUACAACGGUCUUAAAGGGAAAAUUCCAUCAUGGCUUGGGAACUUACACAAAGUUCGAAGCCUGGAAAUGGAAAAUAAUAACUUUACAGGCACAAUCCCUCAAACACUUGUUAACAUAUCCAAUCUAGAGAUACUGAACUCGAGAUUCAAUCAAUUAUCUGGCCAGGUUCCUUCUUCCAUCUUCAAGAUUUCUUCUCUGAAGGUUAUUGAUCUCUCCAGCAGUAGCCUAUCAAGUAGUUUACUUAAUGAUAUGUGUCAACAUCUUCCCAAGCUUGGAAGGCUUUACUUGAGUUGGAAUGAAUUAUCUGGUAACAUUCCAUCAAAUAUAGCAAAUGCAACAGCCUUCAAAUUUUGUCGUUGUCCAUUAAUCAAUUUGUGGGGAUCAUUCCAAAAAGCAUUGGAAAUCUAACACGACUCGAACAUUUAUAUUUGGGGUCAAAUAAUUUAGAAGGUACUGGAUUUUUUUAAUUUCUUUAAUUUAAAGCAUUUUUUUUUAUAGAAAAGCUUGAUUUGUUGAUAACAAAAGUGAGAGCUUUUUAUUUGAUUCAAUGCAAAAUAGUUAAUUUGAUAAAAAAAUGUAUGCUUAAAUAUAUUAAAAUCUAAUAUCUCCAAAUUACUGUAGAACAGAAAAGAAAACCUCUUUGACUUAUGCUAACAAAAUAGGUAGUUUAACACCUUAGAUUUUUCAACUAUGUCUGCAGGUAAGAUACCAUCAAGUAUUGGUGAAUGUUACAAGCUUCAGAUUUUAAAUUUAGCAGCAAAUCAAUUCACUGGGCUCAUUCCAAAAAGUAUUCUUAAUUCAACUAUGCUUCAAGAAAUAUAUCUAUCUAACAACAAUUUAGGAGGUAUGUUUUUCACUUCAAUUUUUUUUUCCGGAGUCCAAAAACAUUCUGUUUAAUUUGUUUCUUCUAUUUUUGCUCAUAUACUUUAUAAGAAUUGAUUUAUUUUAAAAUUUAUAUGCAUAUACAUUUAUAUACAUAGAUUCGAAUACCAUGCACAUGAUUAUAAAAUUUUAAUUUUUUUAAUUAGUUUUUAAAUAAAAUUUUUAAAUUAUUCUAAUUAGUUUUUUUAGUUUGUUAUUACGUUAAACAUAAUUAAAAUAUAUUAAUUUAUUUAAUAGUUCAAAUGUAAUAAUAAAAUUUUAAGCCAUAAUUAAACAUAUGUAUUAUAUUUAAUAUGUAAUUAAAAAAGAACAACAUUUUUCAAAAUAAAAACUAAUAAAUAUAAUUAAAAUAUAUCAAUUAUUUUUUGUUAAUAAAAAAUAGUGCUCAUAGAAAAUUCAUGAUCAUCAUUAAAGCAUCUGUAUAAAAUGUAAAAUUUGAUAUAUUCACUAUUUAAUUUUAUUUUUUUAUAUUUAAUAAAUUGAUCAUAAAAGUUUGAAAUGAUAUAUAAUUAAUAUAAAUAUAAUAGAUUAGAUAAAUAUAUUAUUUAUAAAAUUUAUAUAUAAAUUAUAAAGUCGUUUGUUAUAUAAAUAAUUAAAAUUUACUAUUUAAAAAUAAAGUACUCUUUUACUUAAUCAGAACAUGUAUACUAUUAUUUAACCAAAUUUUUAUUUAAAUUUUUUAUACAUUUUAAUUUUAUUAUGUACAUUUUAUUACCUCCAUGAAUCAUAUAUAUUAAUAAUGUUAUUGAUUGAGAUGGUGUCACAAAUUAACUCGACACCAACUUAGGAUUAACAACAACACCAUGAUAAAUAAUUACAUUAAUUUAAUAUUAUUAAUCUAAUUUAUUAAUAUGUUUAAAUUUCAUUUUAUUUACAAAUUAAUUUACUUUUUUUAAUAUCGUACAUAUAUCAUGUAUUAUUAUUAAUUAGUUUUAUUAUAUUUUUAACUAUGUGUGCAGGUAGUUUGCCUGAUAAUUUGUGUCAACAUCUUCCCAAACUUAAUGGCUUUCCUUGGAACAGAAUGAAUUAUCUGGUAAUAUUCCAUCAAGUAUAGGCGAAUGUUUCAAGCUUCAGAUUUUACGUUUAGCAGCAAAUCAGUUCAUUUUUAAUUCAACUAUGCUCCAAGAAAUAAUGCUACCGAACAACAGUUUAGAAGGUAUGUUUUUCACUUUAAUUUAUUCCAAACUCCAAAAACAUUGGGUUGGAUUUGUUUCUUCUUUUUUUGGUCGUACAAUUUAUCAUUUUAAUUUGAUAAAAAACAACAAUAAGAUUUAUAUGAAUUGAUUUAUUUUAAAAAUUUUAAUUCCAUUAAACUUAAAAAAGUAAUUAAUUUUUUAUUGCAUAAACCAAUCUAUUUUAUAUAAGUAAAAAAUAUUACAAAUACUUUAUCUCUGGAAGAAAAGAAACCAACGUGGUAAAUAUAUUUAUUUUAAAAAUGAAACAACUAUAUGUAUACAUAUACAUGUAUAUAAUGUUUUAAACAUUUUAUUUUUUAAUUAACUUUUAACAAUGGUUUUUUAAUUAUUCUAAUUAGUUUUUUUAGUUUCUUAUUUAAAUGUUGAAUAUAAUUAUAAUUUAUUAAUUUAUUUAAUAGCUCAAAUAUAAUAAUGAAUUUCAAGCCAUAAUUAAAGCAUAUGUACAAUAUUUAAUAUUUAAUAUAAUUUUUACUUCAUGUAAUUAAAAAAUAAUAAUAUUAUUAAAAAUAUAACUAAUAAAUAUAAUUAAAAUCUAUCAAUAAUUUUAUUUAAUUUAAAAAUAGUGCUAAUAAAAAAUUGAUCAUCAUUAAAGUAUAUGUAUAAAAUAUAAAAAUUGAUAUAUUAAAUUAUUCACUAUUCAAUUUCAUUUUUUUCUUUUCUUAAAAGUUAAUAAUUUGAUGUCAAAAGUUUGUAGAUGAUAUAUAAUUAAUAUAAAUAUAGUAUAUUAGAUUAUAUAUAUUAUUUAUAAAAUUUAUACAUGAAUUAUAAAGUUACUUGUUAUAUAAAUAAUUAAAAUUUGCUAUUUGAAAUUAAAGUUUUUUUUUUACUUUUUGGGUGAAUGUGAAUAUUUACUGUUAUUUAAGUCUCUAAAUGAGUUGAUGUCAUGAGUCAAUUCGGUAUUAACUUGGUUAGAGAAAUUGUAAAAAUAUCAUUUCGUAUUUAAAAUAAGUUAUAUUAUUUGAGGGUAUUUUCUUUUUAUUUAAAAAAAAAGGUUUAUGGUUUGAGUCAAAUUUUAUUACGCACACUUUAUUACUUGCAUGAAUUGUAUAUAAUAAUAAUGUUGUUGAUUGAGGUGAUGUCAGUGUUAGAAUUAAGUGACCCGAAUUCUUAUUUAAAUAAAAUACGAUGGAAAAUAAAAUAAAAGUAAAAUCCAUAUAAAACUAUACUUCUUUUAUUUUAUUUUAGAAUAAGGUUUUUUAAACCUUAUUAAACUCCAUCUAUUUUAUAUUGAUUAGGAUAAGGUGUUUCAAUCCUACUAGAAUAUGGCUUUACAAGCCUAUAAAUAGACAUAGUCUAUUCCUCUUGUAUUGAUUCAAAUUUUCGACAUAGUGAAUUUUCUUCUCCUCUGCCCGUGGUUUUUUCCCGAAAGAGUUUCCACGUAAAAUUUGUGUUUUCUUUAUUUUAUUUUCUUUAUUUUAUUUUAUUUUUUUCACAAAUUGGUAUCCGAGCUUCCGGGUUGUUCAUUUCAAUCACAGUAAUGGCGUCUUUGAAGUAUGAAAUUCCGCUGUUGGAUUGUAACACCAGAUUUGCAUUGUGGCAGAUUAAGAUGCAAGCAGUUCUUGCGCAGAUGGAUCUAGAGGAUGCCCUGCUAGGGUUAGAUAAGAUGCCUUCGACAUUAACAGAUGAAGAGAAGAAGCGUAAGGAUCGAAAGGUGUUUACACAAUUACAUUUGCAUUUGUCCAACGAAAUUUUGCAAGAUGUGAUGAAAGAGAAGACUGCCGCUGCAUUAUGGAAGAGGCUAGAACAAAUAUGUAUGUCGAAAACUCUAACAAGCAAGUUGCAUAUGAAGCAGCGUCUUUAUGCUCGUCGUUUGGAGGAAGGUGCAUCUGUACACGAAUACUUAACAGUGUUUAAAGAAAUUCUCUCAAACUUGGAGGCCAUGGAGGUUCAGUAUGAUAAAGAAGAUCUAGGGUUGAUUCUACUUUGUUCGUUGCCCCCGUCUUAUUCAACCUUUAGAGACACGAUUUUAUAUAGCCGCGAGUCUUUCAUAGUUGAUGAGGUUCAUGAUUCUUUAACCUCGUAUGAUAAGAUGAAGCAUCUUGUGGUUAAACCCAACUCUCAGGGAGAGGGUCUCAUUGUUCGUGGGAGAUAAGAUCGAAAUGCUGAUGAUGAUCGUGGUAGGACACAGGAACGGAAUCUUCAUGGUAAAUCUAAGGGUAGAUCGAAGUCUUCAAACAGAGGUAAAACUUGUAACUUCUGCAAGAAGAAAGGGCACAUUAAAUCUGAGUGCUAUAAGCUAUAAAAUAAGAUUAAAAGGGAGGCUGCGAAUCAAAAGGGAAAACAACUAGAAAAUUCCGGUGAAGCUGAUGUUGUAGAAGACUACAGCGAUGGUGAACUUCUAGUCGCUUCUAUCAAUGAUUUUAAAGUAAGCGAGGAGUGGAUACUUGAUUUAGGCUGCACCUUCCACAUGAGUCCCAAUCGGGAUUGGUUUACAACUUACAAAACAGUGUCUGAAGGUGUUGUUUUGAUGGGAAAUAAUGCUUCGUGUAAAAUCGCAGGUGUUGGAACAAUUAAAGUUAAGAUGUUUGAUGGAGUUGUCAGAACACUUAGUGAUGUACGGCAUGCUCCAAAAUUGAAAAGAAAUUUAAUUUCAUUGAGUACUCUUGAUUCAAAAGGGUACAGAUACACAGCUGAAAGUGGGGUUUUAAAUAUUUCCAAAGGGUUCCUUGUUGUGAUGAAAGGGCAGAGAAAAAUUGCCAAGUUAUAUAUUUUGCAAGGUUCUACUGUUACUGGUGAUGCAGUUGUUGCUUCCUCUUCCUUGUCAGAUGAUGAUAUUACUAGACUUUGGCAUAUGCCCCUAGGGCAUAUGAGUGAGAAUGGCAUGGCAGAAUUGAGCAAAAGAGGAUUUCUUGAUGGGCAAGGAAUUUGCAAACUGAAUUCCUGUAAGCACUGUGUUUUUGGGAAGCAAAAGAGAGUUCGAUUCACUAGAGGAAUCCAUAACACGAAGGGAACGUUGAAGUAUAUUCAUUCUGAUCUGUGGGGGCCAUCCAGAGUGCCUUCGAGAGGUGGAGCUAAUUAUAUGCUAACCUUUAUUGAUAAUUUUUCCAAAAAAGUUUGGGCAUUCUUCCUGAAGCAGAAAAGUGAUGUGUUUUCCAUAUUUAAGUCUUGGAAAAUUAUGAUUGAAAAACAGACGGGAAAACAGAUAAAAUACCUCCAUACAGACAAUGGCUUAGAGUUCUGUUCUGAUGAGUUUAAUAGAUUGUGCAAGUCAGAAGGGAUCAUGAGACACUUGACAAUUUGUCAUACUCCACAGUAAAACGGCGUUGCAGAACGAAUGAACAGAACGAUCAUGGAGAAGGUUCGAUGUAUGUUGUCAAAUGCCAACUUACCGAAGUCAUUUUGGGCAAAAGCAGCCUCUACUGCAUGUUUUUUGAUUAACCGAUCUUUAUCCGUUGCCAUUGAGAAAAAGACUCCACAAGAGGUAUGGUCUGGUAAUCUUGCUAAUUAUUCUGAUUUAAAGAUUCUUGGGUGUCCUGCGUAUGCUCAUGUUGAUAAUGGAAAAUUGGAACCGAGAUCCAUUAAAUGCAUUUUUCUUGGUUAUAAAGCUGGUGUAAAAGGGUAUAAGUUAUGGUGUCCUGAAAAUAGAAAAGUUGUGAUUAGCAGAGAUGUUGUUUUUGAUGAAACUACUAUGCUACCUAACUUAUCUCUUAAAGACUCCUCCAAUAAAGAAAGCCAAAAGUAGGUGGAGCAUCAGAUUAAUACAGAGUCAACUCCUUAAGCUAUAAUAAAAAUUGAGAAUAGAGUUUCUUCUUCACCAUAAUACUCUAUCGCCAAAAACAGAACUAGAAGAGAAAUUAAACCUCCAAAGAAGUAUGCCGAAGCUAAUAUAGUUGCUUAUGCUUUAAAUGUGGCUGAAGUUAUAGAUGCGAAUCAAGAGCCAUCUAAUUAUUCUGAGGCGGUUAGCUGUGAAGACUUAGAAAAGUGGAUGUUUGCUAUGCAAGAAGAGAUAGAAUCACUCUACAAAAAUAGAACAUGGGACCUUGUGAAACUUCCUAAAGGUAAAAGGGUUGUUCGUUGUAAAUGGGUGUUUAAAAAGAAAGAAGGGACUCCAGGAGUUGAAAAACCCAGAUAUAAAGCAAGACUUGUUGCAAAGGGUUAUAGUCAAAUUCCAUAAGUGGACUUCACAGAUGUGUUCUCUCCAGUUGUUAAGCAUAGUUCGAUUCGAGCUUUGCUUGGUAUUGUCGCCAUGCAUGAUUUGGAGCUUGAGCAGUUAGAUGUAAAAACUGCAUUUCUGUAUGGAGAACUUGAGGAGGAUAUUUACAUGCAACAACCAGAGGGUUUUAUAGUCUCAAAAAAAGAGGACUAUGUUUGCUUGCUGAGAAAGUCCCUUUGCGGUUUGAAACAGUCACCAAGACAGUGGUACAAGAGGUUUGAUUCUUUUAUGACUUCUCAUGAUUUCAAAAGAUGUAGUUUAGACAGUUGUGUUUACUUUAAGAAAAACAGUGAUGGUUCUUUUGUAUAUCUACUUCUUUAUGCUGAUGAUAUGUUGAUAGCAGCAAAAGAUAAAUGAGAGAUAAGAAAGAUCAAAGCCCAACUAAGUGAAGAAUUUAAGAUGAAAGAUUUAGGACCAGCAAAGAAGAUAUUUGGUAUGGAGAUUCUCAGAGAUAGAAAAGCAAGUAAAUUGUACCUAAGUCAGAAGGGGUACAUUGAGAAAGUUCUUUGUAGGUUCAAUAUGCAGAGUGCUAAGCCUGUUAGUACUCCUUUAGCAGCCCAUUUUAGACUUUCAUCGGCUUUGUCUCCACAAUCAGAUGAUGAGAUUGAGUACAUGUCACAUGUUCCAUACUCUAGUACUGUAGUGGGAUCUCUCAUGUAUGCUAUGGUUUGCUCAUGUCCAGAUUUAUCAUAUGCAGUCAGUGCAGUUAGCAGAUACAUGGCAAAUCCCGGUAAAGAACAUUGGAAAGCAGUUCAGUGGAUUUUAAGAUACUUACGAGGCACUACUGAUGUUUGCUUACAGUUUAGAAGAACUAAAGAUGGAGUCAUAGGGUAUGUUGAUGCUGAUUUUGCUGGAGACCUUGAUAGAAGAAGAUCUCUCACAGGUUACGUCUUUACAAUAGGAUGUUGUACAAUUAGUUGGAAAGCCACUUUGCAAACUACAGUCGCUUUGUCUACCACUGAAGCUGAGUAUAUGGUGAUUACUGAGGCUUGUAAAAAAGCUAUUUGGUUGAAGGGACUAUUUAGUGAACUCAAUGAAGACCUUCAAAUCAGUACAGUAUUUUGUGACAGUCAGAGUGCCAUCUUCCUUACAAAAGAUCAAAUGUUUCAUGAGAGAACAAAACAUAUUGAUGUUCGGUAUCAUUUUGUUCAUGAUAUUAUUGCUCGUGGUGAUAUUGUUGUGAGCAAAAUUAGUACUCAUGAAAAUCUUGCAGAUAUGAUGACUAAGUCAGUUCCUAUAACCAAGUUUGAGCAUUGCUUAGACUUGGUUGGUGUUCAUUGUUGAAGAUAAACCCUUAAGGGGUUUUAUGGAAGAGGUGGAGAACUUGUUCGCGAUGAAGAACUUGUUCAUUGAGAAUUUGUGUCAAGGUGGAGAUUGUUAGAAUUAAGUGACCCGAAUUCUUAUUUAAAUAAAAUACGAUGGAAAAUAAAAUAAAAGUAAAAUCCAUAUAGAACUAGACUUCUUUUAUUUUGUUUUAGAAUAAAGUUUUUUAAACCUUAUUAAACUCCAUCUAUUUUAUAUUUAUUAGGAUAAAGUGGUUCAAUCCUACUAGAAUAUGGCUUUACAAGCCUAUAAAUAGACAUAGUCUAUUCCUCUUGUAUUGAUUCAAAUUUUCGACAUAAUAAAUUUUCUUCUUCUCUGGCCGUGAUUUUUUCCCGAAAGAGUUUUCACGUAAAAUUUGUGUGUUCUUUAUUUUAUUUUUUUUCACAGUCACAUAUUAACUUAACAUUAACUUAUGAAUUGAAAACAUCACCAUGAUAAAUACAUUUGACGUAUUCAUAUGUUUAAAUUAUGUUUUACUUACACUUUAAUCUAUUUUUUAUUUUAAUAUCGUACAUAUGUCAUGUGUUGUUAUUAUUAUUAAUUAGUUUCAAACCAUACAUUUCAUUAUUUAUCACAUGUUAUUUUAAAAUAAAAAUUUAUGUUCUAUAUUGUUUAUUUUAAUAUCGCACAUAUGUCAUGUGUUAUUUUAUAUUUUAAAUAGUUUUUAUGUAUUUUUAUAGUUUAUAUUUUUUCUCUUUUUAAAUAAUUUUAAUAAAAUUUUAAAAAAAUAGUCAUUUUUAAAGAUUUUUUAAGGUUUUUUUAUGAUAAUAUGACAUCAACGUAUGACAUGUGGUAGUAUAUGAUUAGUUGAAUAUCCAAGCGACAACCAAUUUUUAUUGUCCAAUUGGCUAAAUUAAAAAUGCCUACUAAUGUUAGGGAUUGAAGUGGAUAAAAAAAACUUAAAGACUAAAGUUAGAAAAAUGAUAUAGUUCAAGGACCAAAAUGUGUAUUAAGAUUUUUUAAAAGAUGAUUUUUUUUUUUUUUGGAAGGGAAUGGAAUUUCUUUUAAGUGAAUUAUAGUUUCUUGAGAGAGUAGUAAUUUUCUAGUAGUCAGUAAGUUUAAUAAUAUUAUCAUUAAAGAUAAGCUAUUUGAUUUUUAUAUAAUUUUUUAAUUAAAUUAAUAUCACAAAUGGAGUAAAACCAAUCAUAGUAAGCACAUUAUUAUAGUAAUUUAGAUUAAUAGGAAUUAUCAAAUUUAUGAUUAAGGAUUAUAAAUUUAUUUAAUUCCAAUCUUAUACCUUUUUAAAUUAUAAGAAUGGUUUUUUUUGUCUCUAUACUUUGCUUAAAUUGAGAUUUAAUUUAUAACUUUAAUUUUAACAUAAUUUGGUAUUUCAACUUUUAUAAUGUUAUUAGUUAGUUUAAAUAUUUUAUUCUAAUUAAAAUGAUUGUAUGAAUUUUAAAGAAUUAUUAGCACCGUUAAAUUUUUUUAUACUAAAUUUAGGUUUAUUAUAAUUUUUUUGUUACAUAGAUACCAAGUUUAUUUUAUUUUUCAAAAUGCUACAUCAACACUAAAUUUUUUUUAACAAUAUUAACAAAUAGACCUAAAAUUUUCAAUCCGAAAAGUAAAUGAACUAAAUCCCAAAAGAAUAAAAAAGUAAAAAUUAAAUUUUAAAUAUUUGAAGAAUACAAAAAUUUGGAGUAAAUUGUAACUUUUAAAUUUUAUACAAUAAUGUAAUAAAAAAUAAAUAAUUAACUAGAUAAAAAUAAUAUAAAUUUACUUUAAACUUGUGUUUUCCUUUCCCUUUCUGGCAUUUUAAUUUACUUAAUUAAUUUAAUUAAGCCGAAAGCCUGAAACCAUUUUCUAAUUGAUUUUAUCAAUUCACAGCUAGACAAGAUCUGUAAUUCGGCCUGUUACCCUACUGCUUAGGGGGUUAAGGCUCACCGUAUUCGAUUUACUCCGCUACUACUUAGGGAGAUAAGAUCUGUAAUUCGGCCUAUUACCUUACUGCUUACGGGGUUAAGGCUCACCGUCUUUGAUUUACUCUGCUACUACUUAGGGAGAUAAGAUCUGUAAUUCGGCCUGCUACCCUACUGCUUAGGGGGUUAAGGCUCACCGUCUUCGAUCUACUUCGCUACUGCUUAGGGAGAUAAGAUCUGUAAUUCAGCCUGUUAACCUACUGCUUAGGGGGUUAAGGCUUACUGUCUUCGAUCUACAUUACCCUACUGCUUAGGGGGUUACAUUUGCUUUUGAGCUUGUGUCGGUGUGAUUUUAGGACCACAUGGUUAGCCACACGGGCGCAUGCCGAUUCACACGGCCGUGUGGAAUUGAGGAUUAGGGUUUUUAGGCAAAUUUUGGUGCCACGCGGUCGUUUAGCUGAUUUGGGGAUUUAGUCGACUUCCACACAGCUGUGUCUCGAGGUCACACGGGCGUGUACAUUUGGUAAUUAGGGUUAGGUGAUUUGGUACCACAUGACUUGGCCACAUGGCCGUGUGGCUAAUUUUGAAGAUUUAGGGACUUAGUCAAUUUUCCACACAAAAGUGUGUUCUAGACACACGGUCGUGUCUGCCCUAUACCUUAUUUUGGCACAAACGGACAGAGAGUUACACGACCUAUUCACACGGCCAUGUCUCGGGGUCACACGAGUGUGUGCCUCUUUUCAUACGGGUGUGUGUCCCUCCACAUGGGUGUGUUGACUCUCACACGGCCUAAGCAUUUCUACAACAGCCAUGUGGCCCUAGUUCGUAAAUUCUUAUUUUGAGUUACAUUGUGACUGAUUCGUGUAUCUGUGUGUUUCGACCCUUGGCUAGGCCUUAGCAAAGGUAGUUGAUACUCUGUUUCAGCUCGGUCUUAUGCUAUAUUUGUGAUCGUUGCACUACUUAAAUGAUUGCUUAAGUGUUAGGUACUAUUAUAACUGAUUCUGAAUUUGGACGAUUAAAUGUAUACACUAUGGUUCUGUUGACUGUCUGCAUGUUGUGUACAUUGAUUCUAUAAGUCUGUUUGCGUAUAGGCAUUCGCAUAAAAUAUCUGAAUUUUAUUUUUGUGUGUCUGUCUCCAUAAGGAGUGCAUUUUGCAUUUGCAUUAUAAUUUUGGGUUUGGUUAAGAAGAGAAGGGAGUCUGAUCUGUUUUGAGCAGCUUAAACUGUGAUUCUUUAGUACAGCGGUUAACCACACUGUACUACAUAUACGUUAGCUUUGCUGUGUAUUAUCAUUUGAGUGGCCUAGUCCACGUCGUGGUGUGUAGGGUUGGAUGGGCCUUUCGAGGUCCAAUGUGGUGUGCAUGGUUGGUAGGGCUUCACAUAGCUCUUUUGUGGUGUGAACGGAGGACGGAGAGGUGUUUGGCUAGAUGGGUGUGCUUUUAAUACUUGUCGCAUUUAUAAGCAUCUGAUUUGGUGAAUGAAUAUGAUUUUAUCUAUCUGUAUUCUAUUUGGUUCUGAGUUUGUAUCCCAACAUAAAUAAGUACUGAAAUUUCGAUGAUAUGAUAGUUUAAAAUGUUUUGAAUUUGCUAAAACAUGAUUGGUGUGAUCAAAUGAAUGUUUCGUAUAUCUGAUAGUAUGUGACUUGAUCUUUAAUCACUUGCUAUUUAGUUUGGUUUCAAAUUCACACUAAGCUCAUGUAGCUCCCCGCUUAGUUUUCCCUUUCAGGUACCUUCUCGAUUUUUAUAGCUGGACUUGGUAUGCCAGAGGUCUCAGAUUUUAAAAUGAGCUAUUUGGUUCCCUUCUCAGUUCUUAGUUUUGUUAAAUUGUUUUGGAUUGUAAUUAAUUUUAAGAACUGUGACAAAAGGGUUUAUUCGGAUUUCCGCAUAAUGCUAUCAUGGACUGAACUUUUCAUUUGAAACUGCAAAACUAAGUUUUCAAACACUUUAAUGCAUCUUGAGAAUCUCUAUUUUAAAAAAAAUAAACAUUUUUUCGAAUUUGAAAAAAUGUGUCUGUAACGGAAUUUUAGAUAAUAUAUUUUGUAAAUUUUUUCUAUGAUCGCUUCGGUGAUCAAUGUGACCUCUAAAAUUUGGUUGAAACUUCUAGGUCAGGUUUUGCAGCGUUACACAUCAUCUCACAUAAGGUUAUUCAUUCUAUAAAGAGUCGAAAAAAGAACAAAAGAUGGUUGGCUGUCAAAAUUAAUAUGGAAAAUGCAUAUGAUUGUGUUCGGUGGGAGUUUAUUGAGGGUUGUUUACAGGCUAUAGGUAUCCCUAAUUUUCUCAUUAAUGUAAUUAUGUCUGCUAUUACUAACUCUACCUUGCAGAUUUUUAGAAUGGCGUUCCUACACAAAAAUUUAACUCGGCUAAAGGGGUUCGUCAAGGUUGCCCUCUAUCUCCGUGCUUAUUUGUCUUAUGUAUGGAGUGGUUUGGUCACAGCAUUCAAGCUCACAUUGACUCAAAACUUGGGGUUCCGAUUAGAUUGACUCGUUUGGGUCCACCUCUUUCUCACUUUCUUUUUGUAGAUAACCUCAUUAUUUUUUGUCAAGCCAAUGUUCAACAAGCCCACGUUCUCAAAUGUGUAUUGAACAGUUUUUUUGAAUUUUCUGGACAUUGAAUAAAUGCACAAAAAACCAACAUGAUUUUCUUUAAGAGGGUUGAUGAGGAUUUAGCUUGGGAGAUUAGUAACCUUUUGGGGUUUCAUAAAAUGAAUAAUCUAGGAACUUAUUUAGGUGUACCACUCAUCCAUGAGUGAGUUACAAAUGGCACCCUAAGGUUCAUCGUGGACAAGAUUUGUUGCAAGUUGAAUAGUUGGGAUGCGUGGAAACUUUCUCUGGCUGAAGGGGCUACAUUUGCUCAACCAGUUCUUCUAGUGAUAUUAAGUUUUUUUACGCACUCUAUGAUUAUUCCCAAAGGUAUUUGUGAUGAGAUUGAGUGUUUGGUAAGACAAUUUAUAUGAGGACCUUCUAAUAGAGGUAAAAAAAUAGUGUUGGUUUGUUGGGAUUCGGUUUGUCAACGAUGACUGACUGGUGGUUUGAGGUUAAAUAGGAAUAGGAUCAUAACAUGGCUUUCAUGAUAAAAAUCAAUUUUAAAAUCGUAUCAGCCUUAGAAGCUAUGUGGGUUCAUGUCCUGAAGUAUAAAUAUAGAGUCUAGAAUGGCUUACCGGAAACCUUGGCUCAAUGUAGUGGUUCCUUUUUUUGGAGAAGUCUGGCAAAAGUUUGGCCAAUCAUUUGAGAAAACUUAAUUUGGUCAAUGAGAGAUGGCUACAGUAUUAAAUACUAGAAAGAUCCUUGGAUUCCUACAGUUGGUCCUCUUUGUAAGCUUAUCCCAUCUCAUUUUAAUUUGGCGAUGGAUUGCCCACUUACAUGGUUACCCAAAAGAGAGUGUUUGGCAACUUUCAUAGAAAUUCGAGAAACCUCAAAGGGUUAAAUACUUCAUAUGGCUUGCCAUCCAGAAAUGUCUGCUAACUAAUGUGGAAAGAAUGAUGAGGCGUAUUAAUAUGGAUAGUUCUUAUGGGUACUGUAAUUUCGAGGUUGAAGAUGUGGUACACGCCUUAAGAGAUUGUCCUGUAGCUAGAGAUAUUUGGGAAAUUAUUGUCCCUAAGGAUAAGAUACCUCUAUUCUUCUCACGAGACCUAAUAGAGUGGCUAGGUUUGGAUAUGCAAAAUCAUCAUCAAAUACAUCUAGGGGAUAUUGAUUGACAAUGUUUCUUUUGUCUUAUUGUGCGGCGAAUAUGGAAAAAUCAUAAUUUACUUUUAUUUUAGGGUAUUCCAUGGAGUGUAAAUGAUAUUACCAAAGUAUCCUAUAGUUAGGCUAAACACUAUGGACUCUCUAAUAAUAAGGUAACUAAGGACGCUUUGUAUAUCCCAAUACCACCUUUGAUCUUAGGCAAUAAUUGGGUUCACUUAAGAUUUGAUGGUUUUGUUAAUGAGGGAAUCAGUUUUGCUGCAGUUGGGGGUGUUUUGCAAGAACAGAAUAGAGGAUGGAUUCUAGGUUACAACAAGUACUUGGGCUUUCGUUCUAUUACAGAAGCUGAAUUCUAGGGCAUCUUAGAUGGAGUAACGCUUCUUUUGGAAUGGAAAUACAAAUGAUAAUUCAAACUGACAACAUGGAGAUAGUCGUAGCAAUUCAGAAUGAGGCCCGUAAUAAGUUAGACUCUACUCUGAUCAGGAGAAUUCACCAAAAUUUAUCCAAAGUAAGACAUUGGGGCAUUGAACAUAUCCCUAGAGAACAUAAUGGAGAAACUGAUGGAAUUACAAGACAAGUUAAAGAUAGGAGAGAAGGCCUUCAAAUUUUUGAAGUUUCCCCAUUGGGGAUCUAGUUCUUUUUUAUUGUAAUAUUUUCAGUUUAUUUUCUUAUUUCACUUAUUUCACACACAAAAAAUACCCAAAAUCAUAAUUAAUUAACACAUUUUAUCUAUUUAUAAUAUAUUAAUUAAAAUUUUAUUUAUUUAUGAAUUAUCUAUAAUUAAUUGGUGAGAGAAUUUUCCUUUCAAACCAAUGAAAACAUUUAUAUCUCAUUUGGUUCAUAGUGACAUUAAUAUUUCAACGUCACGUCUAAAAGUUGAAUAUAUGUACUAGCAAAUUUAAUGUCGACGUGGUAUUGUUUUUGAAACAGUUUAUAAAUUAAAAUGAUAAAAGAAAAUCAUGUGAUGCUAAAUGCAAUUGAAUUAAAUUUCAUCAAGAAAUGUCCAAGUUUUUGUUCCCACUCACAAAUAGAGAUGCACCAUUGUGGAAAAGUUAGCCAACCGUUUAGAUUAUUAAAAUAGAACUAAUUGAAUAGCUGGUGACUAUGGAAAUUUUGGUCUUUCCAAAAAAACACAAGGUUUUAUUAAAAGGGAGUCAUCAUUGAUUUUUUUUUGUUAAGUGUGUUUUUUUCAUAAAAUAAUUUUAAUUUUUUUUUAAAAAGAUAAAUUUUAAAUUUAUGUUAAAUUCUAGAGAAAAAAAAGUCAAUUACGUGUGAAGAAGGUUAUAGUACCCCUACAAUACUCAAAAUUGGUACCUUGUCAAUUAUAUAGUUACAAAAAUAUUCAAAAUUCAAAAAAAGAAAAUCUAAUUUUUAAUUGUGAGCCCUUGAAAUAAAAUACUUACAUUUCGAGUGAAUUAAAAUUUUAUAGUAAAAUAAUUUUCGAUAUCCAUAAAAAUACUAAAAAAAUCUUUUUAAAAGAAAGUAAAACUUGUGAAUUCACUCGAUUCCAAAAAAAAUAUCUUCAAAUUAAUUUCAUCAGUGAUUUCUUCCCCGUUUCGGGUAGGAGUAAGGAUAACGCUAUAAUAAUUGUUGGAAAGUAAUGCCAAGGAUCACACUAGUUGGAAGAAUCCAUGCAAAGCAAACCAAGGACUAAUUAUAGAAAAGUCAGUCUACGUUAAAGUGACAUAAAGCUCCAAACACCCGUCUGUGAUCCAGAAAUGUUCAACCUCUUAUCCCCAAAUCACUCACAAAUAGUAAUGACAAAUUGUGGAAAAUGUUCUCAAUAACUACAAGAAUUAGAUUCCACCCAAAGUAAAGCAAGGACUAAUUAUAGAAAAGUCAGUCUACGUUAAAGUGACGUAAAGCUCCAAAUACCCGUCUGUGAUCCAGAAAUGUUCAACCUCUUAUCCCCAAAUCACUCACAAAUAGUAAUGACAAAUUGUGGAAAAUGUUCUCAAUAACUACAAGAAUAAGAAUCCACCCAAAGUAAAGCAAGGACUAAUUAUAGAAAAGUCAGUCUAUGUUAAAGUAUCAUUUAACUCCAAAGACCCAUCUUAAAUGCAAUGUCAACCUGUUGUCCCCCAAAUCACUCACAAAUAGUGGAAAGGACUCUCAAUGACUAAAGUAUAACCCUAAAGACCCGUCUAUGUUAAAUUUGAACUGUUUGUCUCAUUCAAAAAGACUAAUUGUGAUUGUACAAUAAUUCUUGGACUAGUUGGAAGAAUCCACCCAAAGUAAAGCAAGGACUAAGUAUAACCCUAAAGACCCAUUCAAAUGUUUGUCUCAUUCAAAAAGAUUAAUUGUGAUUGAGAAAUCAUGUCAAGUUGUUGGAAAAUUGGAGAGAGAAUUCUACACCCAUGACAAGUAUUAAAAGAAAGAACACAAAUGCAAAUUCAUAUAGUCUUUUUUUUUUCUUUCUAUUAUUUCAUUUUUGCAAUGAUGAAACGUUUAAAAUUAUUUACGUCCUAGUUUUACAUGAACAAAAAAGUUUAAUAAUGAAAAAGCCGAUAAAUAUGAAAAUGUUUUUUUUUAAACUUUUACUUAUAUUAUUUAUAAAUCCUUUUUAAAUAUUUAAAAAAUGGAUAUAAUUUAACUAUGAGUAACCUUCUUUAACCCUUAAAUUAGGAGAAAUUAUUUUAUGGAUCCUUCCUACAACAUCAUGGUCCCAUCCAAUUAAAAGAUGGCACAUCAUCUUUUUUUUCCACAUCAUAUGUAUAUGUAUAACUUUUAUUCAUUUAUUUUUUUAUAAUUUUUUUCUCUAUUAUUGCUUCUUCUUUUUUAAAGUUUGAGGAUGUUUUUGAUGCAUUUUGAAAAUUCAAGUACCCAGUUGAAUGUAGAAAAAAACAGGAGCUUAAUUGCUCUUUUUGAAAAGGUUUGAGGGCCUUUUUAUGUAUUUUGAAAGUUUAAGUACCCAAAUGAGUGAAAAAAAAGCAAUGGCUUAAUUACUCUUUUUGAAAAGUUUGAGGGCUUUUUGCACCCUUAAGCCUUUAAAGAAUUACAGUGACUCAAUUCGAUUUUUGGAAUUACCAAAUGUGAAAGCAAAUAUUCAACUUAGAAUCUUUUAAUCUUUUAUCAGGUGCUAUUGUUUUAUUUUCUUGUGUUACUUGAGUAUUUGAUUUAUCUUUGAUAUAUAGUGUUGCCUAAAAAGCAUUUAUCUGAAAGUGAAAAAAAGGAAAAAGAGAAAACAUGCUGAAGAGUUAAAAAAAAAUAUCACAGCAAAUUGCUAUUGAUAAAUUUGUUUUUAAAAAGGUAGCUUUUAGUGAAAUUUUGGAUCAAUCAAAUGAAAGUUUGUAUAAUGAUGUCAAUGAGAAUGAUGAAAUUAAUGAUCCAAAUGAGCCUAAUGAUGUGCCAAAUGUAUCAAAUAUUGAAAAUGUUGGCCUUAAUUAAAAAGAAGCAAUUCCUCAUGAUAUUGACGUUGAUGAAGAACAAACGAUUCCUUCUUUGGAUAUUUAUGAUCCUAGAAAUUGGGCUAAUCUUGAUAACAAAACUAGAGACAUUUUAGUUGAAAAGGGGCCUAUAAGAGAAAUGAAUCUUGAGGUCGUCAAUGUUGCAAGAACGGUUGAAUGGUUUGACAAUUUUAUCAAUCAAGAAGGAUUUUUUGAAAAACAUUGAUGUUGAUGUUAUCAUUAAUGAUUUUGCAUCUCAGAAUGCUCGUAGAACAUAUUUAUUUAUAUUUUUUUUGUUUUUUGUAAUUGAUGACAUAGGAGUAGGUUGAAUGAAAAAAUGUUUUUCUUUCUUAAUUUUAUUAGAAAAAUAUAUUAUUUGCUUAAUGUUAUAAAACGUAUUAUUUUAAUAAAAUUACUAGUAUAUGAUUUAUUUUAUUGUAUUACAUUUUAUAUAUUUUUUUUAAAAAGGUCUGAUUUAUUGUUUCGCCUAGGGCUCCAAAAAUGUCAAGAACAGGCUUAGAUUGGACUAGAAUUUUUAAAUUGAAAAAGUUGGAGGAUUGAAUUUUUAACUUUUAAAGUACAAAGACUAAAUCUCAAAUUCUGAAAAGUACUAGGAUUAAUAGCAUAUUUUAACCAAUUUAUUUUUGUGAAAAAAUAAAAAGAAUAUAUAGUAAUUAAAAAAUUAUAUUUCUUAAGUGUUUUUUUUUAUGGAUUAUGUGGACUGUUGUGAAGAAAAUUUAGGAGAAAUUUUGAAAUUUUGCUUCUUUGUACGUAUUUUUGAAAAUUUAUUUUGAAAUUUCUUCAAAAAUUUGCUUUCCUUUCUAAUUUUUAGCGUAGUCUAAAAUUUAUGAAAUACAUUUUUCAUCAUAAAAAUUUAUGAAGUUCCACGAUAAAAAGUAAAAUCUGGAUUAAUGUUGUAACCCCACUGAAUUUAAUGUAGGAGAAGUGUGGGAGGGUUGAAACAUAUUAAAGCAUGCCCUCUGGGCUAUUUUAUCAAUUCAACUUCCCUUUUCCUACUUUUUAUUUUCUUGCCUUAUUCCGUCUUGCUAUCAUGAACUACAACACUUGCUUUCAUCUUCUUUUAGCUUUUUUCAUACCAUGUUCCGUACUUUGCUUGGCUAUGACAGCUAGGAACCUAAACUCCGAUCAGUUUGCACUUCUCGAGUUUAAGGAUCGCAUUGCUGGUCCUCAAAAUGUCUUGGCAAACAAUUGGACGGCCUCUACCUCUGUUUGUAAUUGGAUUGGUGUUUCAUGUGGCAUCCUCCAUAAAAGAGUUAUAGCUUUGAAUCUUACAAGCAUGAAUCUUAGGGGUACUAUCCCUCCACACCUUGGUAAUCUUUCAUUUCUACUUUCUCUCGAC